rnacentral:lncRNA from 1 species
GUGGGGUUAUGUCUGACGUAGGUAGGUGUUCAGGAUCAUUCUCUUGAUCAAGCGUAGUUCACGUCCGUUAUGCGUAGUUCAUUCCCCUCUUUAUUCUUGUACUCGUAAGUUUAGCCACCAAAUAUAUGCUUAGCCGCUGCUGCAACCUCACCACUUAACCAUACCUCACCCAUUAAGCUUUGCUAGUCUUGAUACCUUUGGAAAUGAGAUUGUUGAGUCCCCUGUGGCUCACAGAUUACUACAACACCAGUUGCAGGUACAGGUAAAGGGUACUUGACGCGAGCGCGUUGAUUNNNNNNNNNNNNNNNNNNGUUCCAGGCCGGCAGCCUGGGAUAGCAAGGAUGGACGUCGUUCUUCUUUUGCCGUUUAUUUUCGUCCGUACUCGGACCCUCCUCUUACUCAUGAUGAAUAUGUAAUGUACUGAGGUGACUCUAAUGUAGCUUGUGGCGAGUGUAAGCCAAUUCUAUAUAUCUCUUCUUUUCAGUACAUGUACUUGUAACGAUAUCCAUUCUUGCGACACGACGAGAUGCGCUUCUAUCCCUGACGAGGCCCUCGUGCCAAAUUGAGGAUAGGGUCGCAUCUUGGGCGUGACAAGUUGGUAUCAGAGCCUGUACCGACCUAGGAGCCCCCUUGAUUGAUCGAACUUGGACGAGUCGAGUCUAGUGAAAAACUAUUUGAGUGUUAGUUAUAUAUCGGAGAGUAGGAUUCUUUUUCUCCUCUUCUAUGCUCUGGUGAGGAAUCCUGACGUAAUAAUUUAUUCUACUCCUCUUCUCACUCAAAAAAAAUUUAGGAUCACGCGGAUAUUUUUGAAAUCUAUAUGAUGUCGAUGUGACGGAGUUCUGUCUUGGUGCCUCCUGUCUGACUUGAUUUUCNNNNNNNNNNNNNNNNNNNNNNNNNNNNNNNNNNNNNNNNNNNNNNNNNNNNNNNNNNNNNNNNNNNNNNNNNNNNNNNNNNNNNNNNNNNNNNNNNNNNGGCCUUCGUGCCAAAUUGAGGAUAGGGUCGCAUCUUGGGCAUGACAAGUUGGUAUCAGAGCAAGGACCGACCUAGGAGCCCCCUUGAUUGAUCGAACUUGGCCGAGUCGAGUCCAGUGAAAAACUAUUUGAGUCUUAGUUAUAUAUCGGAGAGUAGGAUUCUUUUUUCUCCUAUUCUAUGCUCUGGUGAGGAAUCUUGACGUAAUAAUUUAUUCUACUCCUCUUCUCACUCAAAAUUUUUUUUAGGAUCACGCGGAUAUUAUUGGGAUCUAUAUGAUGCCGAUGUGACGGAGUUCUGUCUUGGUGCCUCCUGUCUGACUUGAUUUUCUUCCGGGGAGUUGAGCUCCAGGGGAUUCUUGAGCACAUCGUUAUCAUUCAGAUUUCUUGGUAUCUAAGAACGAAGGAUGUUCGUAGUUGCUUCAAUACUAGUAGUGGCGAGAUAACCCCGAUGUCCCCAGUACUGGUGGAGAUUGUUCAGGAGUACUGCCAUACUUUGUAUCGUUGUGAUCACGAGGGUCUGUUGUAGAUGAAGGUCCGAGAUUCUGGUCGUGUNNNNNNNNNNAGUAUCUCAGAACGAAGGAUGUUCGUAAUUGCUUCAAUACUAGUAGUGGCGAGAUAACCCUGAUGUCCCCAGUACUGGUGCAGAUUGUUCGGGAGUACUGCCAUACUUUGUAUCGUUUUGAUCACGAGGGUCUGUUGUAGAUGAAGGUCCGAGAUUCUGGUCGUGUGUUGACGGAUGUGAUAUAACUGACGGGUUAGUAUAGGAGUUGUGUGUUAUUACUCCUUGUAUCCGUGUACCAGAUUGCAUGACCAGAUAUUUCGGGAAUUCAUAGGUGGGAAUUCAAGUAGUUGCUUAUAGGACAAUCUUCCAACAAAUACAUGAUGUUAGGUUGGGGUUCGACAUCUAGUGGAUUCGUUUGUUCACGNNNNNNNNNNNNNNNNNNNNNNNNNNNNNNNNNNNNNNNNNNNNNNNNNNNNNNNNNNNNNNNNNNNNNNNNNNNNNNNNNNNNNNNNNNNNNNNNNNNNAUCUUCUCCUCACUAGUGAAAAGGGUGGCUAUAUCGUGUAGUUUGGUAAGAUGGGCUACGAACGUCUCAGACUCAUAAUCCUGGAAAGGAUCAGAUUCGACUAUAGAGAUUAUCUCAGGGUCGACAGAGAAUUCAUAAUCCUUAUCAGUGAUAAAGAUAGGUGAAGUGGCAAACUUCGGGUCAUAUUUCAUCCUAGCUUUCAGAUAUUUUUCCUUCCACUUGAGAAGUAAUUUCUCAACGUCAUAGGCAUCCUUACAUGCAAGAAAAUCCUCAGCUAUCUCUCCCUCCAUAACGUAACCCUCAAGUAUAUCAGGCAAUUCAUAUCUAGGAUAGCGAGAUCUAGCAGGAGCAAAAGCAGGUUCUAUCUCAAUAGUAUCGGCAGUUUCAGAAGCAUCACGAGCAUUGGCAGUAACUCUAGCAAUAUGAGCAUCAAGGAAUACCCCGAGUGGCAUAUUAGGCAAAGUAGUAUCUCUAGCAGUAUCAAGCAUAGCAUCGUCGGGCAAAAUAGCAUCUCUAGCAUCAUCAGGCAAAGCAGUAUCAAGCAUAGCAUCAUCAGGCAUAGUAUCUCUAGCAGUAUCAGGCAUAGCAUCUCUAGCAGUAUCAGGCAUAGUAGCAUCAUAAGCAUCAUCAAGCACAUGCGACAUAUCAAGAUUUCUAGCAGGAGGUGGUGUCGCAAACUUACUCAUAACUGAAGGUGAAUCAAGUGCAGAGCUAGGUGGCAGUUCCUUACCUCCCCUCGUAGUUGAGGGCAAAACUUUGGUUUUUGGAUCUUUCAGAUUCUUCAUAGUGAUCACCAGAUAUAAAUCCCAAGUGACUUAGAGAACAUAGCAAUCCCUCCACGGCAACGGUGCCAGAAAAAUGCUGCUAGCAGUCCCCGGCAACGGCACUAGAUAAAUGUUGUUGACGUGUUCCUGACUUGAUGCCUUCACGGCAACGGAGUCAGAACUGCUCCCAGUUGCUCAACAAUUAGCAAUUGUCUUGCAAUGGCCCACCAGCACGUGGGUUCGCGGCAGUUUUCGAGGGUAGAGUAUUCAACCCAAAUUUGUUGGUUCGCCCGACAGGAAGUGAAAGGAUACUCUCAAGUAUUAGCAGCUGAAUGUGUCAGAAUCAACGACAGCUGAAAGAUUAGUAUAUGCAAGCAAAGUAUCAGUAGCAAAGUCUUAUGAUAGCAACGGUGCCAGAAAAGAUCUGUUGACGGCAGACUAUUCCUAACGGUUGUAUUAAUGGCGCCAGAAGUUGCCCGUGGACGGGAAAUAUUCUUUCCCGGAAACGGCGAGCGAAAAAGUAUUGUAGCAGGUAGCAGCAGUGUAAUGAGUGACAGCAGUGGCAAGGAAUAGCAGUAGUGACAGCAGUAGCAAGUAGCAACAGUAGCAAGUAACAGCAGUAGCAAGUAGCAGCAGAGCAAAGCAAGUAACAGUAGCAGCAAGUAAUAGUAGAAGCAAUAGUAGUAACAGCAGCAGAGCAAAACAAGUAACAGCAGUUGUGGGACAAACUCGUAGGCAAUGGGUCGAUGAUUUGUUUGGAUGACAUUCAUCAUGCAACAUUUAUAACACGGAGAGAUAUGUGGCUAGCUCCCGUUCGUCGAUGUGAUGUAGGCAUGCACUCCGUGUGUCGUCAUACGUGCUUAGGGAAAACAACUUGCAUGACAUCUAUUGUCCAUCCCUCCCGUGGAAGCGGGGUCUAAAAGGAAACUACAGGAUAUUAAGGUUCUCCUUUUAAUAAAGAACCGGACCAACGCAUUAGCACUUGGCGAACACAUGAACUCCUCAAACUAUGGUCAUCACUUGGAGUGGUUCUGGUUAUUGUCACUCCGGGCUUGCCGGGUCAUAACACAUAGUAGGUAGCUACAACUUGCAAGAUUGGAUCUAAAACACACAUAUAUUGGUGACAACUUAAUAAUUUCAAAUCUGAAAUCAUGGCACUCGGGAACUAGUGACAAGCAUUAAGCAUGGCAAAGUAGUAGCAACAUCAAUCUUAGAACAUAGUGGAUACUAGGGAUCAAUCCCCGUCAAAACUAACUCAAUUACAUGAUAGAUCUCAUCCUACUCAUCACCGACCAGCAAGCCUACGAAUAGAUUACUCACGAACGAUGAAGAGCUUCAUGGAAUUGNNNNNNNNNNGAUGAUGACGAUGGCGACGAUUUCCCCUCUCCGGAGCCCAAAACGGACUCCAGAUCUGCCCUCCAGAUGAAGAACAGGAUGUGGCGGCGCCUCCGUAUCGCAAACGCAACGAAAUCUUCUCUCUUUAUUUUUUCUGGGACGAAAGUGAAUUUAUAGAGCUGAGUUUGGGGGUCGCAGAGCCACGUGGGCCCCACAAGCUUGGUAGCCACCACCAGGGGCGGCGGCUACAGGGCUUUUGGCCCACUGGCCCAUCCCCUCCGGUGGAUCUUUGCGCAGGUAUUUUUCAUACUUUCCAGAAAUAUUCUUUGUAAAUUUUCAGGACGUUCUGAGAACUUUCAUUUCUGCCCAAAAACAACACCAUGGCAAUUCUGCUGAAAACAGCGUCAGUCCAGGUUAGUUCCAUUCAGAUGAUGCAAAUUAGAGUCCAAAACAAGGACAAAAGAGUUUGGAAGAGUAGAUACGAUGGAGACGUAUCAAUGAUCAAGUUGCUUAAAAUUCAUGAUAUCAUUACAGAGAGAAAUAAUCUUAGCCGGCGGAAAAUACUUGGAUAUAUAAGCAUCUUUGCACUUAUCCCAAGAAUCGAUACAAUUUUUGGGCAAAGACGAAAACCAAGCUUUUGCUCGAUCUCGCAACGAGAAAUUAACAAGCUUCAAUUUAAUCACAUCAUUAUCCACAUCUUUCUUAUUUUGCAUAUCGCAAAGCUCAAUGAAGGUAUUAAGAUGGGACGCGGCAUCUUCACUAGGAAGGCUAGAAAAUUGCUCUUUCAUAACAAGAUUCAGCAAAGCGGCAUUGAUUUCGUAUGACUCCGCACUAGUGGCGGGAGCAAUCGGAGUACUAAUAAAAUCAUUAUUAUUAGUAUUGGAGAAGUCACAAUAUUUGGUGUUUUCAGUCAUGGUGACUUCAGCAAGCAAGCAAGCACACAAGCGAACAAAGAGCAAGCGAGAGAAAAGGGCGGACGAAAAAGGCAAACAAAGAAAAGGUCAAAUCUUUUUGUAAAUUUUUGUUUUCAUAAGUGGGGGAGAGGAAAACGAGAGGAAAAAAAGUAAAUGCAAGAGAUGAGUUUGCGACACUUACUUGGGUGAGUUCUUGACUUGAUCCAUCCCGGAAACGGCGCCAGAAAUCCUUCUGCUACGGCGACAGAAACCUUUCUGUCACCCCUUGAGCUUGCGUUGGUUUUUCCCUUGAAGAGGAAAGGGUGAUGCAGCACAGGAGCAGUAAGUAUUUCCCUCAGUUUGAGAACCAAGGUAUCAAUCCAGUAGGAGAAUCUUAUCAAGUCCAGAGUACCUGCACAAACAAAAAGAGCUUGCACCGAACGCUAUAAAGGGGUUGUCAAUCCCUUCAAGGUUGAUUGCAAAGUGAGACCUGAAGGCGGAAAGUGCAACGAAGUAAAAGUGUAAGGCUGAAAAUAUAGUGUGGAGUAGACCCGGGGGCCAUAGUGUUCACUAGAGGCUUCUCUCAAAAUAGCAAGUAUUAUGGUGGGUGAACAAAUUACUGUCCAGCAAUUGAUAGAACCGCGCAAAGUCAUGAAGAUAUCUAAGGCAAUGAUCAUACAUAUAGGUAUAACGUCCGAGACAAGUAGACCGAUACUUUCUGCAUCUACUACUAUUACUCCACACAUCGACCGCUAUCCAGCAUGCAUCUAGUGUAUUGAGUUCAUGACGAACAGAGUAACGCCUUAAGCAAGAUGACCUGAUGUAGAGGGAUGAUCUCAAACCAAUGAUGAAACCCCCCAUAUUUUGACCCUUGAUGGCAACAACAGGAUGCGUGCCUUGCUACCCCUUCUAUCACUGGGUGAGGUCACCGCACGGUAUGAACCCAAAACCAAGCACUUCUGCCAUUGCAAGAAUCAUAGAUCAAGCUGGCCAAACAAAACCCACAACUUGAAGAGAAAUACAAGGAUAUGAAAUCAUGCAUAAAGGAGAUCAGAAGAAACUCAAAUAAGAUUCAUAGAUAAUCUAAUCAUAAAUCCACAAUUCAUCGGAUCUCGACAAACACACCGCAAAAAAAGAUUACAUCGGAUAGAUCUCCAUGAAGAUCAUGGAGAACUUUGUAUUGAAGAUUCAAGAGAGAGAAGAAGCCAUCUAAUUACUAGCUAUGGACCCGUAGGUCUAUGGUGAACUACUCACGCAUAAUCGGAGAGGUCAUGGUGUUGAUGAAGAAGCCCUCCGUAUCUGAAUCCCCCUCCGGCAGGGCACUAGAACAUGCCCUAGAUGGGAUCUUGCGGAGACAGAAGCUUGCAGCGGCGGAAAAGUACUUUCAAUGAUCUCCUGAGUUUUUUCUAGGAUUUUAGGGAAUUUAUAGGCAAAAGCCCUAGGGCAGGGGAGACACGGGGAGCUCACAAGCUUGCUAGCCCCCCCCCUAGGCCGGGCCUGGUGGGCUUGUGACCUCCUCCGAGGUCUCCUGCCUUGGUUCUCAAGUUUCCUGCACAUCUUCUAUUAUAGAAAAAACAUUCCACAGGUUUUAUUCCGUUCGGACUCCUUUUAAAAUCCUCGUAUGAAAAGGGUCAAAAACAUGGAAAAAACAAGAACUGACAGUUGGCACUGAUUUAAUAAGUUAGUCCCAAAAAAGAUAUAAAGGGCAUACAAAACAUCCAAAGUUUGACAAUAUAAUAGCAUGAAACCAUCAAAAAUUAUAGAUACGUUGGAGACGUAUCAGCCCCACGUGCCUCCUUUGCCCUACCUCUUUUGCCUAUAAAUUCUAUAAAAUCCCGAAACCAAAGAAGAGAGCUACGAAAAUACUUUUCCGCCACCGCAAGCUUCUGUCUCAGCAAGAUCCCAUGUGGGGACCGUAUUGGUGCCCUACUGGAGGGGGAUUCGGACACGGAGGGUUUCUUCAUCAAGACCAUUGCCUCUCCGAUGAUGCGUGAGUAGUUCACCAUAGACCUUCGGGUCCAUAGCUAGUAGCGAGAUGGCUUCUUCUCUCUCUUGGAUCUUCAAUACAAAGUUCUCCAUGAUCUUUGAUGACCCACAAGUGUAGGGGAUCUAUCGUAGUCCUUUCAAUAAGUAAGAGUGUCGAACCCAACGAGCAGCAGAAGGAUCGGACAAGUGGUUUUCAGCAAGGUAUUCUCUUCAAGCACUGAAAUUAUCGGUAACAGAUAGUUGCGUGAUAAGAUGAUUCGUGGUAAGUAGCAAGUAACAAUAGUAACAAAGGUGCAGCAAGAUGGGCCAAUCCCUUUUGUAGCAAGGGACAAGACUGGCCAAACUCUUAUCGGAGGUAAAACACUCCCGAGGACACAUGGGAAUUUCUGUCAAGCUAGUUUUCAUCAUGUCCAUAUGAUUCGCGUUCGCUACCUUGAUAGUUUGAUAAGUGGGUGGACCGGUGCUUCGGCGUUGCCCUUACUUGGACAAACAUCCCACUUAUGAUUAACCCCUCUCGCAAGCAUCCCCAACUACGAAAGAAGAAUUAAGACUAAGUCUAACCAUAGCAUUAAACUAGUGGAUCCAAAUCAGCCCGUUACGAAGCAACGCAUAAACUAGGGUUUAAGCUUCUGUCACUCUAGCAACCCAUCAUCUACUUAUUACUUCCCAAUGCCUUCCUCUAGGUACAAACAAUGGUGAAGUAUUAUGUAGUCGAUGUUCACAUAACACCACUAGAGGAGAGACAACAUACAACACAUCAAAAUAUCGAACGAAUACCAAAUUCACUUGACUACUUGUAGCAAGACUUAUCACAUGUCCUCAGGAACAAAAGUGACUACUCACAAAGCAUAAUUAUGUUCAUGACGAGAGANNNNNNNNNNAAUAUAAUCUUCCACCGAGUAAUCCAACUAGCAUCAACUACAAAAAGUAAUUAACACUACUAGCAACCUUACAAGUACCCAUCGGAGUCGCGAGACGGAGAUUGGUUACAAGAGAUGAACUAGGGUUUGGAGAUGAGAUGGUGCUGAUGAAUAUGUUGAUGAUGAUGAGUCCCCUCCGAUGAGAGUAUUGUUGGUGAUGACGAUGGCGACGAUUUCCCCCUCUGGGAGGGAAGUUUCCCCGGCAGGACGGCCCUGCCGGAGCUCUAGAUUGGUUCUGCUCAAGUUCCGCCUCGUGGCGGCAUCGAUUCCUCCAGAAAGCCUCCUCCUGAUUUUUUCUAGAACGAAACCCUCCUUAUAGCAAAAGAUGGGAGCCAGAGGGGCAAUAGGGGGCCCAGAAGCCCCCUAGGCGCGGCCAGGGGGGUAGGUCGCGCCUAGCAGGCUUGUGGCCUCGUGGUGGCUCCCCUCUGGUACUUCUUCCACCCAGUAUUUUUUAUAAAAACCAAAAUAAUUCCUCGUUCAUUUUCACGACUUUUGGAGUUGUGCAGAAUAGGUAUCGCAAACUUGCUCCUUUUUUCAGACCAGAAUUCCAGCUGCCGACAUUCUCCCUCUUCUUGUAAACAUUGUAAAAUAAGAGACAAAAGGCAUAAGUAUUGUACCGUGAAGUGUAAUAACAGCCCAUAAAGCGAUAAAUAUCAACAUAAAAGCAUGAUGCAAAAUGGAUGUAUCAACUCCCCCAAGCUUAGACUUCGCUUGUCCACAAGCGGAAAGCGAGAUCAAUAAAUAUGCCCACAUGUUUAGAGAUAGAGGUGUCAACAAAACAAAAUAGGGACAUGCAGGCAUCAUGAUCAUAAUUAGAACAUCAAUAACGUCAUAUAAUAUCUUAUGCUAAUGUGAUAAUUCCAUCACGAACUAAAGUAUGGAUCAAGAACCUUAUUGAGAAUUAACAACCAAUAGCAUUUAGCCAUUGAAGCGAUUGCAAUAUAUCAUAACAUCGGAAAGAGUCAAAUAAGAGCUUGUAAAGCAAAUCCACAUACUCAAUCAUCCUUUCGUCUCCUACAAUUGCUAAAACUCACGCGAUACUCAUGAGAUCAAACUUUCACUUGGACACAGAGAAAGAUAGGGGCUUAUAGUUUCGCCUCCCAACUAAUUACCUCAAGGGUAAUGUUAACAAUAAUAAUUCAUGAAUACUUACUUCCAAGUUGACAUAUGAAUAUAGAUCUUUCCCUAGCAUAUGACAUUAGCCAAGAUAAAGGCGAAAUAAGGAAUUGGUGUCGAUCACCAUGACACUUUUAAGGGCAAAAAGUAAAGGUACAAGAUAGGGCCUUCGUAGAGGGAAGGAGAGGUUGCCAUGCGCUUUUGAAGUUUGGAUGUGUGACCUCUUAGUGUGAAGGAACAUCACUUUAUAUUGCCUCCUGUGAUAAAGAACUUUAUUAUGUAGUCCGUCGCUUUUAUGUCUUCCUCAUCACAGGUUCGUACAAACCUUAUUUUCCAUACACUAAUGGAUCAUACAUAUUUAGGGAGCAAUUUUUAUUGAUUGCAGCGAUGACAACUUACUUGAGGGAUCUUCUUCAAUCCAUAGGUAGGUAUGGUGGACUCUCAUGGCAAAACUGGGUUGAAGGUUUAUGGAUGCACAAGUAGUAUCUCUACUUAGUGCGGAAGUUUUGGCUGAUAUGAGGUGGAAGCAAGCAUCAUGUGCUAAGGGAUCUCUAGACAUAUAACAUUGCUCGGAACCAAGCAAACAUAAUUCAUUAUGUUGUCUUCCUUGUCCAACAUCUACUUCUAAGCAUGUAAUAGUUUAGUGAGUGUUCACAAUCAUAGAUGGUGCCCAAGAUGAUAUAUUUAUAUGUGAACAUCUCCUUCUUUAUUACUUCCUAUUAAUUGCAAGCAAGACCAAGGUCUACGUUUGUCCACCCACAACAAGUUUCAAUCAGCAUUCUUUUUAUAUGUGAAGCCAUCACUUCCCAUAAGAUCAAUACAUGAUCUUUCAUGCUUUUGUUCUUUUAUCAUUCUUUUCUUUAGAUCAUGGCAUGAAGCAAGACCCUUAACUAAAACACUCUUUAUUAUAUGACUCACGAGCUUGAAUACAUCGUGGGUGACACAAAGAAAAACUCAAGGCUAGAUCACUAAGAACUUUAUUCUACUAGAGAAAGAUAAAACCAAAAAGGAUCGAACUAAGAAAAGGUAAAGGCAAAAGAUGUGAUGGUGAUACAAUACCGGGGCAACUCCCCCAAGCUUGGCACAAGCCAAGGGAAUUGCUCAUACCCAUGCUUAAUUUUCUUCCUUUGAAGGUGAUGGUGGUGGAGUUGUUGCAACCUGGGUUUGAUCCUCCGUCUUCCAAGGCAUAGGUGCUCCAUCAUGGAAAGAUGAUCGAGUCUCCGGAAUCCUCAAAUCUGUAGCCAACCGUAUUGAUUUAAAUCUAUACUCAUACUCAAAGUUUUGGUUCUGCAGGUCAUAGAUCUGGGCUUGGAGGGGAUCAAUUUUGUCAUAGAGCCUGGAGAGGUGCUUCCCGAUGUCAUUGGCAUCGAUCUUGUGCUUGUUGGUCAACUUCGUGAUCAUCAUGUGGUUGUCGUUGAGUCAGUGUUCCACCAUCCCUUGGCACUUGAAGACUUGCUGCUCCAUUGCUUCGAGCCUAGCCUCCACGCUUCCGGUCUUCUUGGGCCCCUCAACAUCACGGAUGUGGAGCACCCCCCUCACGCAUCUCGAUAGAUUGAGGGUGUUACAGCACUCCCGCGAGGUAGGGAUUGAUGAUCUUCUCGAAGAACUUGUCCUUCGGAACUUUUGGGGAAUCCAUAACAAUCUAGAUCUGUCUGCACAGCAGCUCGAAACGAAAAUAGAGGAUAUUUGCAUGAUACGAGGGUCAGACCUUUCGGGAGAAUAUAUAAUGAAUUUUUCCCGACCAAAAGGAGUACUCCGCAAGAAAACAGAGUUCGGGAGGCACACGAGGUGCUCACAAGCCCCCCAGGCGCGGCCAGGGGGGAGGUCGCGCGUGGCAGGCUUGUCGCCUCCUCGGGCGCAUUCCGAACUACUUUAAAUUUUUCUAAUUUUCUAAAAAUUCCAAAACAGAGAAAAAUUCCUACUGGAAAAGUUUUGGAGUCGGUUUACUUACCGAAUCACAUACCUCUUCGUUUUUGGAGUCUAAAACAGGCUGAUAAAUAUCCCAUAUGUCUCGGAGUUAUGGUAAUAAUAAUAUUGCUUUCGACAUUUAUGGGAGUACCUGAGAUAUAAUGCUUGAUUAUUUGCCUAUUUACCACUCUCGAAAAAUUACCUUCCGUGUUGUUGAUCUUGAUAGCACCGGAACGAUAUACUUCCUCAACAACGUAAGGACCUUCCCAUUUAGAGAGAAGCUUGCCUGCAAAAAAUCUUAAACGAGAAUUGUAAAGCAAGACAUAAUCACCUACAUUGAACUCACGUUUUUGUAUCCUUUUAUCAUGCCACCUCUUAACUUUUUCUUUGAACAACUUGGCAUUUUCAUAUGCCUGAGUUCUCCAUUCAUCAAGUGAGCUAAUAUCAAAUAACCUCUUCUCACCAGCAAGUUUGAAAUCAAACUUGAGCUCUUUGAUUGCCCAAUAAGCCUUAUGCUCUAGCUCAAGAGGUAAAUGACAUGCUUUACCGUAAACCAUUUUGUACAGAGACAUGCCCAUGGGAUUCUUAUAAGUAGUUCUAUAAGCCCACGUUGCAUCAUCUAGCUUCUUAGACCAAUUCUUUCUAGACCUAUUAACAGUCUUUUGCAGAAUUAGUUUAAUCUCUCUUUUACUUAGCUAUACUUGACCACUGGACUGAGGAUGAUAGGGAGAUGCAACUCUAUGGUUGACAUCAUACUUACCAAGCGUUUUAUGGAAAGCACCAUAAUGAAAUGUGAACUACCAUCAGUCAUUAAAUAUCUAGGGACUCCAAUUCUAGGGAAAAUAACUUCUUUAAGCAUCCUGAUAGAGGUGUUGUGAUCAGCACUACUAGUUGGGAUAGCUCCUACCCACUUAGUAACGUAAUCAACAGCAACUAGGAUAUGAGUAUACUCGUUGGACUUUGGAAAAGGUCCCAUAUAAUCAAAACCCCAAACAUCAAAUGGUUCAAUGACACGUGAAUAAUUAAUAGGCAUUUCCUGACGUUUACUAAUAUUACCUAUUCUUUGACAUUCAUCACAAGACAAGACAAACUUACGGGCAUCCUUGAAGAGAGUAGGCCAAUAGAAACCUGAUUGCAAUACCUUGUGUGCACUUCUAUCUCCCGCAUGGUGUCCUCCGUAAGCCUCACAGUGACACUUGUGUAGGAUCUGUCCCUGUUCAUGCUCAGGUACACAAUGUCUAAUAACACCAUCUACUCCUUCUUUAUAAAGGUGAGGAUCAUCCCAAAAGUAAUGUCUCAAAUCAAAGAAGAAUUUCUUAUUUUGCCGGUAAGUGAAACUAGGUGGUAUAUAUUUGGCAACGAUAUAAUUUGCAUAAUCAGCAUACCACGAUGUACUAUGUGAAGCAUUGAUGACAUUCAAUUGCUCAUCAGGAAAGCUAUCAUCAAUAGGUUGUGGGUCAUCAAGAACAUUCUCCAACCUACACAAGUUAUCUGCUACGGGGUUCUCAGCACCCUUCCUAUCAACAACAUGCAAAUCAAAUUCUUGUAGCAAGAGAACCCAUCUGAUAAGUCUAGGUUUAGCAUCAUUCUUUUCCAUGAGAUACUUAAUAGCAGCAUGAUCAGUGUGAAUAGUGACUUUGGAAUCAACUAUGUAAGAUUUGAACUUUUCACAUGCAAACACGACUGCUAAAAAUUCCUUUUCAGUAGUACCAUAGUUUCUUUGGGCACUGUCUAGAGUUUUACUAGCAUAAUGAAUAACAUUCAACUUCUUAUCAACUCUUUGUCCUAGAACAGCACCAACAGCAUAAUCACUAGCAUCACACAUGAUCUCAAAAGGUAAGUUCCAAUCAGGUGGUUCAACAAUAGGCGCAGUUAUCAAGGCCUUUUUAAGUAUUUCGAAGGCUUCCUCACAAUCAUCGUCAAAAACAAAAGAAAUAUCCUUUUGCAAGAGAUUGGUAAGAGGCCUAGAAAUCUUAGAUAAGUCCUUAAUGAACCUUCUAUAGAAACCAACAUGACCAAGGAAACUUCUUAUACCUUUGAUAUCUGUAGGGCAUGGCAUUUUCUCGAUCGCAUCAACCUUAGCCUUAUCGACUUCAAUACCUAUUUCAGAAAUUUUAUGUCCUAAGACGAUGCCUUCAUUAACCAUAAAGUGGCAUUUCUCCCAAUUCAAGACAAGGUUGGUAUCUUUACAUCUCUACAAAACUCGAUCAAGGUUGCUGAGGCAAUCAUCAAAAGAAGACCCGUAAACGGAGAAGUCAUCCAUGAAAACCUCAACUAUCUUUUCACAAAAGUCAGAGAAUAUAGCCAUCAUACAUCUUUGAAAGGUGGUAGGUGCAUUACAUAAGCCAAAAGGCAUACGUCUGUAAGCAAAGGUACCGAAAGGGCUGGUAAAAGUGGUUUUCUCCUGAUCAGAUUGUGCAACAGGUAUUUGGGAGGAACCAGAAUAACCAUCUAGAAAGAAGAAGUGUGUGUGUUUAGACAAUCUUUCUAGCAUUUGGUCGAUAAAAGGCAAAGGGUAAUGAUCUUUCCUAGUGGCUUUAUUCAAUUUCCUAAAAUCAAUCACCAUUCUAUAGCGAGUAAUAAUCCUCUGUGGGAUCAAUUCAUUUUUAUCAUUAGGGACAACGGUAAUACCUCCCUUCUUAGGGACGCAAUGCACUGGACUCACCCAAUCACUAUGAGCAACUGGAUAGAUAAUACCUGCUUCUAGGAGCUUUAGUAUUCCUUUGCUUACUACCUCUUUCAUCUUAGGAUUUAAUCUCCGUUGAUGAUCGGCAACUGGUUUGGAAUCAGGGUCGGUUUUAAUUUUGUGCUCGCAUAGACUGGGACUAAUGCCCUUAAGAUCGUCAAGAGUAUAUCCAAUAGCAGCAUGGUGCUUCCUGAGAGUUUUCAAUAAUUUCUUUUCUUCAUACUCUGAAAGGCUAGAACUAAUAAUAACAGGAUAUAUCUCUUUUUCAUCGAGAUAAGCAUACUUAAGAGUAUCAGGUAACUGCUUAAGCUCAAACACAGGAUCACCCUUUGGUGGGGGUGGAUCUCCAAGCAGUUCAAUAGGCAAAUUAUUCUUAAGGAUAGGAUGUUGUUCAAAGAUAACUCUAUCUAUCUCAUUCCUUUCAUCGAUAUGCAUAUCAUUUUCAUGCUCAAGCAAGUAUUGCUCUAAAGGAUCAGUAGGAGGCACAUCAAUAGAAGCUAGAGCAAUAAUUGAACUCAUGUGAUACUCCUUCAAAGCCAACAGUGACCAUUUGCUUCUCAUAGUCAAUAUGAGCAUUGACAGUAUUGAGGAAAGGUCUGCCAAAUAUGAUGGGACAAAAUCUAUCUUGUGUGGUAGCAAGAAUGAGAAAAUCAGCAGGAUACUUAGUUUUACCACACAAGACUUCAAUAUCUCUAACAAUUCCCAAAGGGUGGAUAGUAUCUCUAUUGGCAAGCUAAAUAGUGACAUCAAUAGGUUCCAUCUCGACAGGUGCAAUCUCGUCUUUAAUUUCAUCAUAUAAAUAUUGAGGUAUUGCACUAACACUAGCACCCACGUCACAUAAACCAUGAUAACAAUGAUCUCCUAUCUUAACAGAAACAACAGGCGUGCCAACAACAGGCCUAUGUUUGUCUCUAGCAUGAGGUUUAGCAAUUCUAGCAGCAUCUUCACAGAAGUGAAUAUCAUGGCCAUCAACAUUGUCGGACAGGACAUCUUUGAUAAUAGCAAUGCUAGGUUCAACUCUAAUUUACUUAGGGGGUGUAGGUGUUCUAAUGUAGCCCCUACGUAUCAGAGUUGUAGCUUUAGAAUGAUCCUUUAUUCUAACAGGGAAAGGUGGUUUCUCAAUGUAAGCACUAGGAACAAUAGGAUCAUUAUAAGCGAUGACUUUCUCUUCAACUGGAUUGGGUUUAACUACAUUGACUUCUAAGGGAGGAUGAUAUUUAAACCACUUCUCUUUAGGGAGAUCAAUAUGAGCGGGAAAUGAUUCACACAAUGAAGCUACAAUCUCAGAGUCAAGUCCAUAUUUAGCGCUAAAAUCACAAAAAGUAUUUGUUUCGACAAAGGAUUUAACGCAAUCAAACUUGAGAUUCAUACCUGACUUCUUACCUUCAUCAAACUCCCAAUCUUCAGAGUUGCGUUUAAUUCUUUCCAAUAAAUUCCAUUUGAAGUCAAUAUCUCUCUUCAUAAAAGAACCGGUACAAGAAGUGUCAAGCAUGGUGCGAUUAUCAUGAGAAAGCCGAGCAUAGAAGUUCUGAAUGAUAAUUUCUCUCGAGAGCUCAUGGUUGGGGCAUGAAUAUAACAUUGAAUUAAGCCUCCCCCAAGCUUGAGAGAUACUUUCUCUAUCACGAGGCCAAAAAUUAUAGAUAUAAUUCCGAUCACGAUGUACCAAAUGCAUAGGAUAAAACUUUUGAUGAAAUUCCAAUUUCAAUCAGUUGUAGUUCCAUGAUCCAGUAUCAUCACAUAGCCUAUACAAUGUUAAUGCUUUAUCCCUUGAAGAUAAGGGAAAUACCUUCUUCUUGACCUCAUCCUCGGGCAAACCUGCAAGCUUAAAUAAACCACAAACUUCAUCUACAUAGAUUAGAUGCAAGUCGGGAUGUGAUGUUCCAUCUCCUGUAAAAGGAUUAGCCAACAGUUUCUCUAGCAUACACGAAGGAAUUUCAUAACAAAUAUUUUCAGUAGGUGCAGAAGGUUAAGGAGCAGCUCCUUGUGCUUCCGUUCGAGGUGAAGAUACCCCGAACAAGCUCCUCAAAGGAUUAGUUUCCAUAGUGACAAGUGACAAUAAAUUUCAGCACACUAUAUAAAUGUUUCCUUACCAAAUUCCACUUACCAAAGGCGCUUCACUCCCCGGCAACGGUGCCAGAAAAGAGUCUUGAUGACCCACAAGUGUAGGGGAUCUAUCAUUGUCCUUUUGAUAACUAAGGGUGUCGAACCCAACGAGGAGCAGAAGGAUCUGACAAGUGGUUUUCAGCAAGGUAUUCUCGGCAAGCACUGAAAUUAUUAGUAACAGAUAGUUGUGUGAUAAGAUGAUUCGUCGCAAGUAGAGAGUAACAUUAGUAACAAAGGUGCAGAAAGAUGGACCAAUCCCUUUUGUAGCAAGGGACAAGCCUGUACAAACUCUUAUAGGAGGUAAAGCGCUCCCGAGGACACAUGGGAAUUUCUGUCAAGCUAGUUUUCAUCAUGUUCAUGUGAUUCACGUUUGCUACUUUGAUAGUUUGAUAUGUGGGUGGACCGGUGCUUCGGUGCUACCCUUGCUUGGACAAACAUCCCACUUAUGAUUAACCCCUCUCUCAAGCAUCCACAACUACGAAAAAAGAACUAAGACUAUGUCUAACCAUAGCAUUAAACUAGUGGAUCCAAAUCAGCCCCUUACGAANNNNNNNNNNNNNNNNNNNNNNNNNNNNNNNNNNNNNNNNNNNNNNNNNNNNNNNNNNNNNNNNNNNNNNNNNNNNNNNNNNNNNNNNNNNNNNNNNNNNNNNNNNNNNNNNNNNNNNNNNNNNNNNNNNNNNNNNNNNNNNNNNNNNNNNNNNNNNNNNNNNNNNNNNNNNNNNNCCCAAACAAUGGUGAAGUGUUAUGUAGUCGACGUUCACAUAACACCACUAGAGGAGAGACAACAUACAACACAUCAAAAUAUCGAACAAAUACCAAAUACACAUGACUACUUGUAGCAAGACUUAUCCCAUGUCCGUUGAACAAAAGUGACUACUCACAAAGCAUAAUUAUGUUCAUGACGAGAGAGGUAUUGAAUAGCAUCAAGGAUCUGAACAUAUAAUCUUCCACCGAGUAAUCCAACUAGCAUCAACUACAAAGAGUAAUUAACACUACUAGCAACCUUACAAGUACCAAUCGGAGUCGCGAGACUGAGAUUGGUUACAAGAGAUGAACUAGGGUCUGGAGAUGAGAUGGUGCUGAUAAUGAUGUUGAUGAUGAUGAGUCCCCUCCGAUGAGAGGAGUGUUGGUGAUGAUGAUGGCGACGAUUUCCCCCUUCGGCAGGGAAGUUUCCCCGGCAGGACGGCCCUGCCGGAGCUCUAGAUUGGUUCUCCUCAAGUUCUGCCUCAUGGUUUGUGAACGAAACCCUCCUGAUUUUUUCUAGAACGAAACCCUCCUUAUAGAAAAAGAUGGGAGCCAGAGGGGCAACAGGGGGCUCACAAGCCCCCUAGGCGCGGCCAGGGGGGUAGGCCGUGCCUAGGAGGCUUGUGGCCUCCUGGUGGCUCCCCUCUGUUACUUCCUCCGCCUAGUAUUUUUUAUAAAAUCUGAAAUAAUUCCUCGUUGAUUUUCACGGCUUUUGGAGUUGCGCAUAAUAGGUAUCUCAAACUUGCUUCUUUUUUAGACCAGAAUUCCAGCUGCCGGUAUUCUCCCUUUUCAUGUAAACCUUGUAAAAUAAGACAGAAAAGGCAUAAGUAUUGAACCGUGAAGUGUAAUAACAGCCCAUAAAGCGAUAAAUAUGAACAUAAAAGCAUGAUGCAAAAUGGACGUAUCAAUCUUCGUGGAGAUCUAUCCGAUGUAACUUUCUUUUGCGGUGUGUUUGUCGAGAUCCGAUGAAUUGUGGAUUUAUGAUCAGAUUAUCUAUGAAUAUUAUUUGAGUCUCCUCUGAUCUCUUAUAUGCAUGAUUUCGUAUCCUUGUAAUUUUCUUCGAGUUAUGGGUUUCGUUUGGCCAACUUGAUCUAUAAUUCUUGCAAUGGGAGAAAUGCUUGGUUUUGGGUUCAUACCGUGCGGUGUCCUCACCCAGAGACAGAAGGGGUAGCGAGGCACGCAUCGUUUUCUUCCCAUCAAGGGAAAAAGAUGGUUUUUUCUUCAUUGGUUUGAGAUCAACCCUCUACAUCAUGUCAUCUUGCUUAAGGCGUUACUCUGUUCGUCAUGAACACAAUACACUAGAUGCAUGCUGGAUAGCGGUUGAUGUGUGGAGUAAUAGUAGUAGAUGCAGAAAGUAUCGGUCUACUUGUCUCGUACAUGAUGCCUAUAUGUAUGAUCAUUGCCUUAGAUAUCGUCAUGACUUUGCGCGGUUCUAUCAAUUGCUCGACGGUAAUUUGUUCACCCACCGUAAUACUUGCUAUUUUGAGAGAAGCCUCUAGUGAACACUAUGGCCCCAAGGUCUACUCCACACCGUAUUUUCUUGCAAUGGGAGAAGUGCUUGGUUUUGGGUUCAUACCGUGCGGUGUCCUCACCCGGUGACACAAAGGGUAGCAAGGAACGCAUCGUGUUGUUGCCAUCAAGGGUAAAAAGAUGGGGUUUAUAUCAUAUUGCAUGAAUUUAUCCUUCUACAUCAUGUCAUCUUGCUUAAGGCAUUACUCCGUUUGUUAUGAACUUAAUACACUAGAUGCAUGCUGGAUAGCGGUUGAUGUGUGGAGUAAUAGUAGUAGAUGCACACAGUAUUGGUCUACUUAUCUCGGACGUGAUCAUUGCCUUAGAUAUCGUCAUGACUUUGCGCGAUUCUAUCAAUUGCUCGACAAUAAUUCGUUCACCCACCGUAAUACUUGCUAUCAUGAGAGAAGCCUCUAGUGAACACUAUGGCCCCCGGGUCUACUUCACAUCAUAUAUUCAGAUCUACAAAAAUACCAAAAAUACUUUGUUGCACGUUUCACCUUCAGAUCUCGCCUUGCAAGUAAUGGUGAAGGGAUUGACAACCCCUUUAUAGCGUUGCGUGCAAAUUUGUUUGUUUUUGCGCAGGUACAUUGGUGCCUCAUCUUGAUACUCCUACUGGAUUGAUACCUUGGUUCUCAAACUGAGGGAAAUACCUAUCGCUACUUUGCUGCAUCACCCUUUCCUCUUCAAGGGAAAAACCAAUGAAAGCUCAAGAGGUAGCAAGGAGCACAACCAAAAAUAGAGUACAAACUCACAUGAAAAAUGUUACCCUAUUCUGUAAAAUCCUAUUAUUAUUCGUCAAAAUGUGUGUUUCUGGUUUUGGAAUGAAAAAGUCUUAUAACGUCUUUUUAACAGAAGUUAAAAAUACUUAAACUAGGUUUUAAAAUAAACCCAUGCAGAAAAGUUUUCAUAAAAAUUCAAUAAACAACACUGUUAAAUACUCCCUCUAUACCAAAAUUCUUGUCUAAGAAUUAUCUAUAUAUGAAUGUAUCUAGUCACAUCUUAGUAUUUAGAUACAUCCAUUUUUAGACAAACCUAAGACAAAAUUUUGGGACAGGGGAGUACUACACAAUUUUACAAGAACUAUGGUGGAAAAAUAUUUAAGUUUGGAUAAGUAAUUAAUCUUGUGGAUUUAUUUAAAAACGGAAAAAGAAAAUAAAGGGAAAAAGUCCAGCUCCCUGGCUUGGCUUGGCCAGCAGCUGAGUCGGCCCAGCUGGCCAACCGGCCAGCCAGCCAGCCCAGGCGCACGCGCCGUCAGGUUUAAACCUCACGUGCAUGACCGUGUGACAAGCGACUGCAGGGAGAGAGAGGGACAAGACGGCCGCUGAUAGGUGGGGUCCCCCUAUCAGGGUCAUCUUCUACCUCUGGACAAAGAGGAGGGAGGGCUCACAGGCGGCAGCUCCGGGGCUCUCGAGGUCAGGCGAGUAUGGGAACGGACUCGUGGCUCCUCCGCCUACGAGAUAAUGGUUGAAGGGACGACGGAGGUGGCCUGUGUCGCCGGUGACGACGAAGCCGCGGCGGAGACCCUUUGGGAAGGCAUUGGAAUCGGUGCUCCAAGCAGGGAGAAGGACGGGGUAGUGGUGGAGAAGGCUCAGGAGGCCUUUGCGGUCAUAAUGGGAGUGAAUGAGGAUCCGGAGCGUGCCUAUAGCCCGAGAUCGACGGAGCCCUGACACAUCGGGGCCUCGGUCAAUCUCGAUUAUCGGGGCUCUCUUAGCUCAAAUGGGGCACUGGGAUGGUUAAUUGGUGGUAGGAGAAGAGGCUUGAGGUGCUGGGAGAGACGGGGGUGGCCUAUUUAUAGGCUGGCGACAAGUCACCGAGUGGUAGUACGCCAGUGGUUUUGUUGCGGCGGCAAGAUAGGGAGAGCGGGCUUGACCGUGAAAUCGUUGUUUGCGGACAUGGUUUAGGACCGCACGGCAUCUUCAUGAGGAGCGGGGGUAGCCUCUAGGCGCGUCGAGGUGGCGGGGUCCUUCUGGCCGCUUCGGUCGCGCACACGCAUGCGUCUCCAAGAUCACAGGAGAGGGGGGAGAGGGGCCCGUCGCUACCCUGGAUGCGGUCGUUGGUGUGGACAAAGAGGGGCAAUGGGGGAGGCGAGAUCCGGCCGGUGCUGGUCCCCUGGGGCUCGGGUGCACCCUGUCGUGAGUCUAGAGCUCAGUUUUGGCAUGCCACAGUAUGCCGGCGCGCUCUGGCGCAUCUUGGCUAUGCCUGGCAUGUCUGGGAGAUGGGGUAGAUGCCCUUUGGGCGCUAGGAACCGAGAAGAGGCAAGCUGGCCAAGGGGAGCGAGUUAAAGUGGUUCCGCUAGCCUUGGUUCAGGAGCUAAAAUGGAAAUUUUGGCUUCCUCUCAUCGAACCAGGGUUGGACCUCUCGUCCCGAGUUGAGAAGGGGCACAGUCCAUGUGUGACAUGAAUUUGGAGUGAAGGGAGUAAGUGUGGUGGUUGCUAGAUGAUGUCUUACAAAUCUGGCUGAUGGAGUUUGAUGCAUGUUUGGGGAAGUUAACCUCCUCAAAAUGCAUUGAAAGUUAACAGGAUUUUGUUUAGGCAUAAUUAGGAGGCUCUAACAAAUUUGAGCUCCAUUGGACAACUUUGGCAGUGUAAACUUGAAAAUACCCACAAAUGGGUUGAUCUGCAUUCUUGUGAGAAGAUGUGAGUAAAUCAAUUCCCACAAAUCCCGUUCUUGGUAUGAUCCCCUUGUUUGGGGUAUUGAGCACUCCUGCAAAGUUCAAGACCAAAUGGACAAACUUCGCAAUGUAGAGUUGCUCCAACUUGAUUCCGGACAAAGAUGGUUUCUAAAUUAUUUAGUGAUUAAAAUCACCUUGAAUGGAGGUGAAACUUGGCAUGGUCACCAAAUAUAGCAUGUGGGACAUGCUAGAAUUUUCUGGGAAUUUAUUGAGAAUAUCUCCUUUGAAAAUACUUCGAAGAUCAAAACAUACAAAAAUGGUUUUCAACGAUUUGCUCAAAUAUUUUGAAUAGGACAAGGGGUCGAAACUCUUAUGUAUGGAAAAUAUAUGUCCUCUUAGUAUUCCCAAGUUUUCUCAGAUUUUUCUCAGGUUGAAAACUAUUUUUUCACCGAGAAAUACCAUUUCUAGCCUUCGAAAAGGAUAUAUAAAUAAAAAAGAAAAAUAACUUUAAAAUAAUUAUUUCAUGGUUUUGAAGAGUUAUAAUCAUAGUAGAAUCAAAAUAAAAUCUUUGGGUGAAUGCACUGAAUUAAAUUCAGGGACUUGGAGUGCAACCCCCAAAGCAAGGUUUUGGUCUACCAAAAUAAUUAAAAGGAUUUUUGUGGAAAUAAUAUUUUAUAAAAACUGUUUUUAGAUAUCUACUCACAAGCACACCUUCAAUAAUGACAUUCAAGGCACUCAUGGCAUUCACUUAAAAAGUUUUAAGUCAUACCAAAUUUUGAAAGAAGACACAGUGAGAGGAAAACAGGGUGUGACAGACCUAUUCCCCUUACAAGAAUCUCGUCCCCUAGAUUCCUAAGCUAGGUGCUAAAAAGGUACGGAAACUCGGAUCUAAGGUAGUCUUCGCGAUCCCAUGUUGCUUCUGCCUCGGUGUGGUUUCUCUACUACACCUUGAAGUACUUGAUGGUUCGUGUGACAGCCCGAUGCCGACGAUCCAGAAGCUUCCCCUUUUCUUUCCAUUUUCGUCGUGUGUCUAUUUAUAUUGGUCGCAUCAUCAUCGCAUCAUGCGCUUCAUCAGCAUUGCAUCGGCAUCUCCGUUGCCGCCAGUUUUAAAAACUUGCAUCCGUUGUUAGUUGCCGGUUCGCGACGUCGUCCGUUCUGAGUUCAACCGCACUCGCACGCGCCCGCGGCACCGUCGAAACCCUGUUUUUAAAGUGGGCGUAAAACUUUCUAUGAUCGAGGUGAAACUUGGCACGCGGUCGCGAUUAGAUUUGGCUAGGCCGCCUGUCGAAUUCCGUCACGAUCGGAGUCCGUCUGGUACCCGAACAGUCGACCGUAGAGGCACCGUAUUCGGUCUAUCGUCGGACGUUUGACGGUGUUUCAAAUCGCGUUGCCGUGCUGCCCGUUUUCCCUCUCAUCUCCGCCUAGCCUCUCUACACAAUGCACCAACCUGCUCGCAGCCCAGUCCGAAAACCUCCCGGUACCCGGAACACACGGUCGUAACCGUUAGGUCCUGAUCAACCCCGUUUUACCCUAAAUCAUCAUCGGUUUGUCCAUUGGAUACCCUAACCUUUAUUUCUCGGCCGUCCGAUUGAAUCGGAGGGUCCGGAUCAGCCCUAUCCAAAUCCACCUAUUUAUUUAAGCAGUCAAAUCCUAGUCCUACCCUUGUCCCAUCCACCCAUUCCCUCAUAGCCGCCACCCGACCAACCUCCUCCUUCCUCGGGAUCCCCAAGAUCCAGUUCGCGUCCAACCCCUCGCUAGCCGUCGAGCCAACCUCCUCCCUUGCAUCCUGAACGUGUGCGGAUGCCCGUAGUUCCCUUCGUCCGCGCGCAGUAGCAGCAGCCAGGAGCGCGAGCUCCUCGUCGGCCUCGACGAAUCUCAUCCGCGUCCAAGCCAUGUGGGUCAACAACAACAGUAGCACCACGAGGUCAUGUCCGCGCCCCUGUUUUCCUCCUACCCUCCGUAUCCUCUUCUCAGGUCUCUCUCUCCCUCGUUUCAUUUCUCUCUCUGUCUUGCAGCAGCAGCACCUGCAGGAGGUGGAGCUCGCCAAUGUCUGCGUCAACCUCAGGGCCUCUGAAGUCGUCCACACAUCGCGGGAUCUGGCUAUGCCUCGUCCGGAUUCGGCGAGUCCAAGGCCUCCGCUUCCCUCUGGGACCUCGCUCCUCUCCCUCCUGUAAAUCGUUCUGUCUCUCUCAUGCUUUCUUCUUCGUCUCUCUGCAGGGACUAACCGCUCCCUCACCAGCGCCAGAUCCGCUGGGAAUGGAGUCCCUUGCCCUGGAUCCGGCCAUUCCAGCCUGCGCAGCCCCCUCCUCGACGUCGGGCUGGCUUGUGGUCGAUGUUCCCCUGCCAUGGCCGCCGGCCUCUUCCCCUGCUGUGAGAUUCCCGUAUCUGAACCUUGUGUGUUAGUUUNNNNNNNNNNNNNNNNNNNNNNNNNNNNNNNNNNNNNNNNNNNNNNNNNNNNNNNNNNNNNNNNNNNNNNNNNNNNNNNNNNNNNNNNNNNNNNNNNNNNNNNNNNNNNNNNNNNNNNNNNNNNNNNNNNNNNNNNNNUUCACAAGCAGGUUACUAGUCUAGCUGGUAGCCGAUCCACACCUAAACCAAGCGAUCUCGGGUUCGAAUCCGAGCCAAGCCUAUUUUUUGUUUUGUGUUAUUUAGAUUAGAGCCUCGCUGUGACGCUGUGAUUUAUAUCAGCUAUAUAUCCACCUUGUCCCAAAGCCUCAACACAGCGCAGUGGUUGGACUAUUUUUCCCUGGUCCAGGAGGUCGAGGGAUCAAAUCCCAUGAGUGCCAAAAAUUUUGCUGGCUGUGGGUUUAUUUUUUUCUGUCUUGCACACAACUUUCUUGGGCCUAUUUCAUCCCUGGGCCACUGGACUAUGGUGCAAUUCGGCCCAUUAUGUUUUUUUUAAAACGUCGUGUGANNNNNNNNNNUGGGAUCAAAUCCCAUGAGUGCCAAAAAUUUUGCUGGCUAUGGGUUUAUUUUUUUCUGUCUUGCACACAGCUUUCUUGGGCCUAUUUCAUCCCUGGGCCACUGCACUAUGGUGCAAUUCGGCCCAUUAUGUUUUUUUUAAAACGUCGUGUGAUUUUUCCAAUUCUCAGGGAUUUUGUGAAUUUCAGGAAAAGGCGUUGUUUUUCAAACGAGCGUAGUUUCUAAACCAUGCAUCGAAUUAAAAUGAUUUCAACAUAUAAGUUGCUUAGAAUUUUCUGUAGUUUCACAAAAACCAACUCUCAUGCAUAAUUAGAUCCGUUUAGUGUGCUGUUUGCAUUGGUUUGCGUCUCGACGUGUUGAAAACGGUUUAGGACGUAACUACUUGUUCGUAGCUCCGUUGGUGUUGUGCCAUAUAUGUAAAUGGACCAGCACGUCGCGUAGCAUCACGUGAACCACUUUGUUUUGCUGUUUAACAAACUUAAAAUGUGAUUAGGACAAAUCUGGACAGAAUUAAGUUUUAACACGUGGGGUCAUUUCGGAGAUGCUAUAUGUCGUUUCCGACCUAAUUUAAAAUGCCUAGAUAGGUAGUUUAAUUUCCGCUUCACCUCUUGCAUGUUUAACAACAUUAAUAUUGCCGUGUAAAUAACCGGGAUAGAACUAAAUAAUAAACGUGGAGUUUCGUCAAUAUGCAACUCGUUGCAUAUUGAACUUCACUUAAUGUGUAGUGUUUGAUUGUGUGAAUUGUCAUGCCGUGACUUGCAUGUAUCCAGCUGCUCAUGCAUCAUUUGUGUUUUGCAUCGUGUGGUGAAAUUCGUGUGUUGAUUCGUGUUUCCGGUUUGCUUCGUCUCGAUAGAGUACCACAAGCGUGUCGGAUGUGAGGACUCGUUCGACUACCUCGGCUCGUCUGCUUCACGGAGGCAUACUUCUUCCANNNNNNNNNNGUGCAUCGUGUGGUGAAAUUCGUGUGUUGAUUCGUGUUUCCAGUUUGCUUCGUCUCGAUAGAGUACCACAAGCGUGUCGGAUGUGAGGACCCGUUCGACUACCUCGGCUCGUCUGCUUCACGGAGGCAUACUUCUUCCAAGCGGGAUCUCAGGCAAGAUGAUUAUUUCCCCAGAUACCAUUACUAUCAUUGCCAUGCUAGUUAUUUCGAUGCUAUCGCUUAUGUCUCGUUGCCUACCACAUGUUAAAUCUCAGCCUCUCAACAAUGCCAUGAAACCUUCAACAUGUUCAACCUAGCAAACCACUGAUUGGCUAUGUUACUGCUUGCUUAACCCUGUUGAUAGCGUUGCUAGUUGCAGGUGCAUUUGCUUCCAUGUGAAACAUGGGUUCCUUGUCAUAUCACCAUAUUAAAUGUUAUUUAAUUUAACGGACCUAUAUACUUGGUAAAAGGUGGAAGGCUCGGCCUUUCUAGCCUGGUGUUNNNNNNNNNNAUAUUUAAUUUAAUGCACCUAUACACUUGUUAAAGGUGGAAGGCUCGGCCUUUCUAGCCUGGUGUUUUGUUCCACCUUUNNNNNNNNNNNNCUAUUUCAUUUAAUGCACCUAUACACUUGGUAAAAGGUGGAAGGCUCGGCCUUUCUAGCCUGGUGUUUUGUUCCACCUUUGCCCCCUUAGUUUCGGCUACCGGUGUUAUGUUCCAUAAAUGAGCGCUCCUAACACGAUCGGGGUUGUUAUGGGGACCCCCUUGAUAAUUCGUUUUAGAUUAAAGCUGGUCUGGCAAGGCCCAACAUUGGUACUACAUUUGCCUAAACACCUAAUAAAAUUGCAUAGGGACUUUCCGGACCCCGAGGAUAAUUUAAUCAACCCCCGGGCCAGUACUCCUCAUGAGUGUUGGUCCCACCUGAGCGUUGUCCGGCGCCCCUCUGGUCACCCGGAGGUUUAGCGAUCCCGACGUCUAGCUCAUCCGCCGUGUCCUGAGAANNNNNNNNNNUCUGGUCCGGCAAGGCCCAACUUUGGUACUACAUUUGCCUAAUAACCUAAUAAUAAUGCAUAGGGACCCGCCGGCACCCGCGGACUAUUUUAAUCAACCCCCGGGCCAGUGCUCCUCAUGAGUGUUGGUCCAAAACAGAGCAGCUUAUUAACGCUACCCGGGGCAACUCAGUGUUUGGCGUGGUAACCAUAGCUCAUCCGUCGUGUCCUGAGAACGAGGUACGCGACUCCUAUCGGGAUCAUCGACACGUCGGGCGGCCUUGCUGGAUUAGUUUUACCUUUGACGAGAUAUCUUGUGCAUCGGGAUUCGGUGAUGCUUUGGGUAAUCUUAGAGUUGAGGUUUUUCACUAGGGAAUCCGACGAGAUCGCGAGCUUCGUGAUCGAGGAUUUCUAUGCGGCUUGUGGUAAUUUGUGAUGGACUAGUUGGAGCACCCCUGCAGGGUUAAAUCUUUNNNNNNNNNNNNNNNNNNNNNNNNNNNNNNNNNNNNNNNNNNNNNNNNNNNNNNNNNNNNNNNNNNNNNNNNNNNNNNNNNNNNNNNNNNNNNNNNNNNNNNNNNNNNNNNNNNNNNNNNNNNNNNACUUAAUUAAAACAUGCCCACUGUGUGCGUAACCGUGACUGUCUCUUUCGUGAGUUCUUACUCCGAUCGAGGACANNNNNNNNNNUCAAUUAAAAUAUGCCAACUGUGUGCAUAACCGUGACUGUCUCUUUCGAGAGUUCCUUCUCCGAUCGAGGACACGGUGGGGUUAUGUCUGACGUAGGUAGGUGUUCAGGAUCAUUCAUUUGAUCAUCAGUAGACACGUCCGUUAUGCGUAGAUCUUCCCCCUCUUAUUUCUUGUACUCGUAAGUUUAGCCACCAAAUAUAUGCUUAGCCGCUGCUGCAACCUCACCACUUAACCAUACCUCACCCACUUAGCUUUGCUAGUCUUGAUACCUUUGGAAAUGAAAUUGCUGAGUCCCCUGUGGCUCACAGAUUGCUAGAACACCAGUUGCAGGUACAUGUAAAGGUUACUUGACGCGAGCGCGUUGAUUGUUCAUUUGGAGUUGCUUCUUCUUCNNNNNNNNNNUCCUUGUGGCUCACAGAUUGCUACAACACCAGUUGCAGGUACAUGUAAAGGUUACUUGACGCGAACGCGUUGAUUGUUCAUUUGGAGUUGCUUCUUCUUCUUCUUCUUCAUCGAUCUAGGAUGGGCUCCAGGCCGGCAGCCUGGGAUAGCAAGGAUGGACGUCGUUUCAUUUUCUUGUUUGUUUUCGUCCGUAGUCGGACCCUGCUCUUACUCUUGAUGAUUAUGUAAUGUACCGAUGUGACUCUGAUGUAGCUUGUGGCGAGUGUAAGCCAACUCUGUAUAUAUAUCUCUUCUUUUCAGUACAUGUACUUGUAACGAUAUACAUUCUUGCGACACGACGAGAUGCGCUUCUAUCCCUGACGAGGCCUUCGUGCCAAAUUGAGGAUAGGGUCGCAUCUUGGGCGUGACACCUGGGCUCUCUUAGCUCAAAUGGGGCACUAGGGUGGUCGAUUGGAGGUAGGAGGGAGAGGCCUGAGGUACUGGGAGAGUUGGUGUGGCCUAUUUAUAGGCCAGCGACAGUCACCGAAAGGUGGUGUGUCGGUGGUUUUGCUGCAGCGGCAAGAGAGGGAGAGAGGGCUCGAGCGCAAAACCGUGGUUUACGGAUGUGGUUUAGGACCGCGUGGCAUCUUCAGGAGGAGCGUGGGCAGCCUCUUGGGGCGUCGAGGUGGCGAGGUCCUUCUGGCCGCUUCGGCCACGCGGGGGCACGCGUCGCCAGGGGCAGAGGAGAGGGGAGAAGAGGGGCCCGUCGCUGCCCUGGAUACGGUCGUUGGUGUAGUCAAAGAGGGGCAACGGGGGAGGCGAGAACCGGCCGGUGCUUGUCCCCUAGGGCUCAGGUGCGCCCUGUAGCACAUCCAGAGCGCCAUUUUGGCAUGCCACCACAUGCUGGCACGAUCUCGCGCGUCUUGGGCGUGCCUUGCGUGUCUGGGAGAUGGAGUAGAUGCCCUUUGGGCGCUAGGAACCGGGAAGAGUCAAGCUGGCCAAGGGGAGAGAUUUAAAGUGGUUCUGUUAGCCUUGGUUCAGGAGCUAAAAUGGAGAUUUUGCCUCCCUCUCCUCUGCAGUUGAGGAGGGGCACAGGCCAAGUGUGACAUGAAUUUGGAGUGAAGGGAGUAAGUGUGGUGGUUGCUAGAUGUUGUCUUACAAAUCUGGCAAAAGGUGUUUGAUGCAUGUUUGGGGAAGUUAACCUCCUCCAAAUUCAUUGAAAGUUAACAUGACUUGGUUUUUGGCAUAAUUAGGAGGCUCUAGCAAAUUUGAGUUUCAUUGGACAAGUUUGGCAAUGUAAACUUGAAAAUACCCACAAAUGGGUUGAUCUGCAUUCUUGUGAGAAGAUGUGAGAAAAUCAAUUCCCACAAAUUCCAUUCUUGGCAUGAUCCCCUUAUGUGAGGAGCACUCCUGCAAAGUUUGAGACCAAAUGGACAAACUUCGCAAUGUAAAGUUGCACCAACUUGAUUCUGGAUAGACAGGGUUUCUGAAUUAUUUGGUGAUUCAAAUCACCUUGAAUGGAGGUGAAACUUGGAAUGAUCACCAAAUAUAGCAUGUGGGACAUGCUAGAAUUUUUUCAGAAUUUAUUAAGAAUAUUUCCUUUGGAAAUAUUUUGAAAGAUCAAAACAGACAAAAAUGGUUUUCAAAGAUUUUCUAAAAUAUCUUGAAUAGGACUAGGGGUUGAAACUCUUAUGUAUGGAGAAUAUAUGUAAUAUGAGUAUUCCCAAGUUUUCUCUGAUUUUUCUAAGCUUGAAAAAUAAUUGUUCACCUAGAAAUACAAUUUCUUGCCUUAGAAAAGGACAUAUAAAUAAAAUAGAAAAAUAACUUUAAAAAUAUUUAUUUAAUGGCUUUGAAGAGUUAUAAUCAUAUUAGAAUCAAAAUACAAUAUUUAGGUGAAGACACUUCCUUAAAUUCAGGGACUUGGAGUGCAACCCCAAAGCAAGGUUUUGGUCUACCAAAAUAAUUAAAAGGAUUUUUUUUGAAAUAAUAUUCUAUAAAAACUGUUUUUAGAGAUCUACUCACAAGCACACCUUCAACAAUAACAUUCAAGGAACUCACGGCAUUCACCUAAAAAGUUUUAAUUCAUACCAAAUUUUGAAAGAAGACACAGUAAGGUGAAAACAGGGUGUGACAUUGUGUUAACGAGAAUUUUAUACUACAUAAAUCUAUGCACUUGUGUAUGAUCAGGUUUAUUUAUAACACAAGCAUUGAAGGAGCAAUGGGGCUCGUUGAUGAGGAUGGCAAGCAUGAGGAAGAUCAGGGACGAAGUGGAGCCAUCAAGGGCAAGAAUUUCAGUUCGGACUACCAAAAGUCCUGAAUUUGAAACAGACGUGGAUUCUUCAUACGGAGUCAAAAUAAAGCAAAUAAGAACUUUUUGAAGAGGAAAUUACAAGAGCUUUCCAAUGGGUAUGGCCCCAUGGACCGGUUCAACUCGUACUGGGCGCGGAGACCGAAACAAGUCACGAAUCAUUUUCUAUCUGUUUCCAAACAGAGUCCGUCUAGGUUAGGGACGUUAGAGAUAUUAUUGUUUUCGACUCCAACACAAUGUUGGACGUCCAACAGCCUUUAUCAGGUUUGUAAUUUGGAGUUUUUGGGCUAGACCACGUUUAAACAAAACCCUAGAUCGAACUGCUGCAAGCAUUCAUCUGAAAUCGAGUUCCUCUUUGUUGCGAUCAGGAAUUCACCCUCUCCACUUUGCUGUGAUCUGGAGAGUUUAGCUACCAAAGUUUGAGUGUGAUCUGUUGUUCCAUUGAGAAUUAAUAGAUUGCGAAACCGCUUCGUGGUCGGCAGCUACGUUGCACCAGCGUGUGGUAAUAUCCAUUGGGUUGAAGAGUUCUUGCAUUGGCAACGGGGAAACAGCCGGAGAGUUCGAGAGCAUCCGCGAGUUAUCUUCAUCAUCCAUCACUUCCACCAUCGGCUCACUAAGAAGAUCGGGCCACCCCUUAUCAUCUUGGUAUCAGAUUUUCAGCGUUUACUCGGUGAGCAAUCCAUACCUGUAGUUUUUGUUUUCGUCCUAUACAAAAAAAACCACAAAAGUAUUAGGGUUAGAAUAGCCAUAGACUAGAUAGCACUGAUUGUAUCUUCUAUUUGUAGUUCAUGUUGAUCUAUUUUUUGCGUCCCUCUUUGUCCUUUUUGUGUCGUCGUUGUCUAGGACUAGUUUUAGGUUUCAAUUUUCAUAGUCGGUCUGUUUUUCACUUUUGUUUGGAGUCUAAACAUGAAAAACAAAUUAUCGAGUUGGUCUCCUAGAUCUAAUCGAACUCGGAGUCCUUGCCCUGCUGCGGCACAAAAAGUGCAAUUUCUCUGCCACAAGUCGAGUAUACAUAGAACUCGUUUCUUUUGCAACUUUCUUAGGACUUCCAAUCCGUGUCUUUGUGAGACUUAGCUACAACCUAUCUACAACAUAUGUUCAGGAGCUUACCCAUUAGACUAGCUAAUAUUGUGCUCUAAGGCUGCUCAAUAGGUUGUUGCACGACUUUGUUUUCUGAAUUUUUUGCUCGGCGAUGCGACAUUUUGUGGGCGAAAAAAACAAGAAGAAAGAAAAAGAUAGAAAAGAGGCCUGAAAGUUUGUGAUAACUACUGCAAUUUUGGAGUUGUUUUACAUUGUUGUUUGCACUCGUAGUUUGAGCAAUCUUGUGUCUGUUAUAGUGAGCUAUUUGCUAAGUGUCUUUCUUGUGCAUUGCAACACCAGCUAUACUACGGACAUACAUAUUACAUUUCCUGCUCAUUCCUAUAGUUGCAUUGCUCCAUUUUUUUCCACGUGUGUGUUUCCGGUGAGUUGUGUGUCACAUGAGCAGCAAAUAGGAUUUGUCUUUGACGUUGUUAGGUAUCUAUUCCAAGCCCCACUAAAUACCCUGAUUUUGUCGUGUGACUCUUUGAGACCCAUAAUAUUCGCUACAUCACAUCCGUGCACGUGCUGCUAUUACAAGCUAGUAAGUUUUGCUAAUUCACUUUGGAACGGUAAGAUACACAAUUUCUUUCGGGUUUUGAGUGAGUUGAGAGUUUAUAUAUAUAUAUAUAUAUACUCUUGUGUGCACUAAUCAUGUCUUCAGGUGAUGAGAAUGCAAGUGUGGUGCAACAAAAUAAGGAGGAUAAUGGUUCGGUUAGUUGGUUCGAGUAUGUGGCUCUUCGUGAUCAUCUCUCAAGUCAAAUUGGGGAACAAUCUGAAAAGUUGCACUCUGAUUUGGUAAUACCAAUGUGAAGGUUGUUACUCUUCAGCGAUCUAUGGCAGCCCUUCAGCAAUCUAUGGAUACUAUGAACCGAACUAUGCAGGUGAUGAUACAGCGUCAUGGACGGACAGCAGAUGUUGCUUGUGCGCAUGGUGAGCAUGAGGACCAGUUUGGUGAGUAUGAUGAUGCUUACGAGGAGGAGGAUCCGCAAGCUUCUGCUGCUACUGUGCCUUGUGACAGAUUGCUACAAGCUAAUGCUGCUCAUGUUGGGAGUGUCGAGGGCCGAGGUGCUGCACCUCCGGGCCGUGGAUUGGUACCACUUGGUCGUUCUCGUCGUGUUUUACACAAUGUUGAUCAUGCAGCCAAUCGUGAUGAUGAUGGGUUGGGUAAGCCAAAAUUCAGCAUCCCCAAAUUUGAGGGCUCUAUUGAUGUGGAGGAAUAUAUUAAUUGGGAGUUGAAGAUGAACAAUUGUGGCAUUUGCAUGAUUACACUGAAGAUAGAAAGAUCAAGCUUGCAUCCUCUGAAUUUGAUGGUUAUGCUUUGCUUUGGUGGCAUGGACUUGUUAAUGCGAGGCUUGAAGCUGAUGAUCUGCCUAUUCGUUCUUGAAGAGAGAUGAAAGAAGAGAUGCGGCAUCGUUUUGUUCCGCAUAACUAUAGGCGUGCAUUGUAUGACAAGUUGCAAACUGUGAAGCAAGGUACUUCUUCUGCGGAUGAAUAUUACAAGGAGAUGGAGUUGAUAAUCCAGCGUGCUAAAGUGAGAGAAGAGCAUGAACAAACCAUCCAGCGUUUCUUGUCAGGUUUGAAUUUUAAUGUCAAGAUAAUUGUACGUCACUACCAAUAUGUUGAUAUAGAGGAUUUGUUGCAUCAAGCACGUGAAGCUAAAUUACAAGUGGUCGGAGAUGCCAAAUAUUUGUCUCGUUAUUCCUUUGGUCGAGGCAGUUUUUCAUCAUGAGCUACAUCUAGUGUUGUACCAAGUUCUCGUGGAGCUGCACCAACUAAAUCAAUUUCAGUUGCACCAUCUCACAAGCCUACAGCGCCACCUACGGCUAGUGCUACUGGUUUUUCGAGUUCUACAGCCCUCGCACGUGCUAUGAACUGCCAUACAUGUGGAGGGAAGGGCCACUUCAAGCGUGAUUGUCCCAAUACGAAAGUCGUGCUAGUAAAUGAAGAAACCGGUGAAUAUGAGAGUGGUGAUGAGGUGGAUCAUGAAUCUGAUCUUGUGGAGGAAGAUGACAGCGAUUUGGUAUACGUUGAUGUUGUUCGUUUGCCUUAUAUUGUUUGCACGCGAAGAGCAUUGAGUGUGCACCAAGCCCUCUAGAGGAGCGCUGCAAUUUAUUUCAGACCAUCGCUGCGCUUGGUAACGGUAAGUCGUGCAAGGUGAUAAUUGAUGGUGGUAGUUGCCACAAUUUGGCUAGUAAAGAGCUUUCUCAAAAACUGAAUCUGAAAUAUUUACCACACCCUCACCCAUAUUAUAUUCGAUGGUUGAGUGAUAGUGGGGAGAUGAAGAUCAACCAUAUGGUGCGUGUGGAAUUUCAGAUCGGACCAUAUAAGGACACUGUGGAGUGUGAUGUUGUUCCUAUGACGGUGUGCCAUUUAUUACUGGGACGUCCAUGGCAGUUUGAUAGAGAUGUCCGCCACAAUGGGAGAACCAACACAUACCAGCUCAAUUGGCAAGGAAAGGUGAUCAUGUUGAGGCCUAUGUUACCGCAAGAAGUUGUGAAUCAAUCCCGUCAAAAAAUUGAGGUUCCCCGUGGGGAUGAGCGUGAGAGUUUAGAUAGGAGAGAGACUCCACUUUCGGUGAGUGAGGGCUAGAAGCCAAAUCUGAGUGGCAAAAAGAAAGUGAGGGACAGAAAAAAUUAACAUUAUUGGCCACCAAAUCUGAUUUGAUAGAGUUUCGUGAGGAUCCCACUCUAAUACCUCUAGUGCUUAUGUACAAGGGGAAAUUCUUAUUUCUAACGAUAUAACUCCUCUUUCUAUUGGUGUUUCUAAUGUUUUGCAGGAUUUUGGUGAUGUGUUUCCUGAGGAGGUACCCGCUGGUUUGCCACCAUUGCGACGUAUUGAGGAUCAAAUUGAUUUGAUUCCAGGAGCAACACUACCAAACCGAGUUCCCUAUAGGACAAACCCCGAAGAAACAAAGGAGAUUCAACGACAAGUACAAGAGCUUCUUGAUAAAGGUUAUAUUCAUGUGAGCUUAAGCCCUUGUGUUGUUCCUGUUAUUUUAGUUCCUAAGAAAGAUGGUACAUGGCGCAUGUGUGUAGAUUGUAGAGCAAUUAAUAAUAUCACUAUUCGUUAUCGUCAUCCUAUACCAUGUUUUGAAGACAUGUUAGAUGAAUUAAGUGGUGUUGUUAUUUUCUCAAAAAAUUAUUUGUGUAGUAGUUAUCAUAAAAUUAGGAUGACACAGGGUGAUGAAUGGAAAACAACCUUUAAAACUAAAUUCGGUUUAUAUGAGUGGUUACUCAUGCCGUUUGGGUUAACUAAUGCACCUAGUACUUUCAUGAGAUUGAUGAAUCAUGUUUUAAGUCAUUUCAUUGGUAAAAUUUUGGUUGUGUAAUUUGAUGAUAUAUUAAUCUACAACCGCAAUGAAUCUGGACAUUAUGAUCAUAUUAGACAAGUCUUGCAUGUGUUGCGUGAAAAUAAGUUAUAUGGUAAUCUUGAUAAGUGCACAUUUUGCAAAGAUAAGGUCAUAUUUCUGGGAUAUGUUGUUUCUAAGAAUGGAGUUGAGGUAGACGAAUCAAAAAUUAAAGCUAUUAAAAAUUGGCCUACUCCUAUGAAUGUUCGUCAAGUAUGAAGUUUUCAUGGUCUUGCUGGUUUUUAUAGACGCUUUGUGAAAGACAUUAGUACUAUUGAUGCACCUUUAAAUGAUCUCACUAAGAAAGGUAUCGAAUUUCUGUGGGGCAAUGCCCAAGACAUUGCAUUUGAUGAGCUGAAAAAAUGCUUUAUUAGUGCACCUUUACUUGUACUUCCUGAUUUCAAUAAGCAAUUUGAGAUUGAUUGUGAUGGUAGUGGUAUUUGAAUUGGAGGUGUAUUGAUGCAAGAGGGUAAACCGAUUGCAUAUUUUUCUGAAAAAUUGAAUGGUGCACAAUUGAACUACCAUGUUUAUGAUAAAGAAUUGUAUGCGCUUAUUAGAGUUCUUACGGUUUGGCAAUAUUAUUUGUGGCCAAAAGAAUUUAUCAUACAUUCUGAUCAUGAGGCAUGAAAAUUUCUGAAAAGCCAAUCUAAUCUUAAUAAACGUCAUGCUAAGUGGGCUGAAUUCAUUCAGUCAUUCACAUACAUAAUUAAGUAUAGGAAAAGCAAAGAUAAUAUUGUUGCUGAUGCUCUCUCUAGGAAAAGUAUGUUAUUGACACAACUAGAUGUUCAAGUUCCUGGUUUAGAGAGUUUGUGUGAUUUAUAUGCUAAUGAUACUAAUUUCUCUAUGCCUUUUCCUCAAUGUUCUACGUUGAAAGCACGGGAAAAAUACCAUAUACAUGAUGGAUACUUAUUUCAAGCUAACAAAUUAUGUGUGCCCGAGUUGUCCAUGCGUUUGCUAUUGUUGCAGGAGUCGUAGAGUGACGGUUCGAUGGGACACUUUGGGCGUGAGAAGACGUUGUUGAUGUUGGCUGAUCACUUUUAUUGGCCACGGAUGAGGCAUGAUGUGGACAGGUUUGUGAAGCGAUGUAUCACUUGCAACAAGGCAAAGUCCAAACUUCAGUUUGUAUACUCCUCUACCUGCACCUACAUCUCCAUGGGAAGAUAUUAGCAUGGAUUUUGUAUUAGGAUUGCCUAGAACAAAGAGAGGACGUGAUUCGAUUCUUGUGGUAGUGGACAGAUUUUCUAAGAUGUCACAUUUUAUUGCCUGCCACAAAAGCGACGAUGUGUUGCAUAUUGCUAAUCUGUUUUUCACGGACAUAGUGCGCUUACAUUGAGUACCCAUGUAACACAUCGACGCUUCAGAAGAUUCCUUUUUUAUUCCCUUACCGCCAUGUGUUUUAUUUGUUUGUUGCAUUCAUCAUGUCAUCAUGCCAUCCCGUAUUAAUGUUUUUGCAACUCAAAUACAUAAAUGGUAUGGAUCCUUGAUCCAUUUAAAUCAAGGAAAUUCACAUGGUGAUUUAUCUAUAUAACAUAUCCUCUCAAUAUUAUUAGGGGGCUAUAAUGAAAUAUUCUAAUCAUAACACACUUGCAAUUUAACUCCAUUCUUUUCUAUCUUAAUUCUUGCCUUCAACUUUGCCCAUAAUUCUUUUGCUUUAUGUCCAUCCACCCUCUCAAAAUUCUCCCCAUCCGUAGUUCAUUUAAAAGGGAGUUUGAAUUCAAACAUAACGAAUCUAAUUCAUUAUGUUUGGUAUUUUUUUACUUCCUUCAUAAAUGUUCAUCUUAUUCCCAUAAAUCAUAUUUAUUAUGUAGGGUGACCUCCAAAAUUUCAUUCCAUUUGGCAUUGGUUUGGUUAGGUUUUAAAUUCAGGCAAGCGUGAGUUAAAUUCAAACUUGUUUAAAUUUGUUUCCUAUAAAAAUCCCCAAACCGAUUGUAUAAAAUAGAGUACAUUUUUAUGGUUCCAGAAAAAUAAUUCUCCAACUCUAUUUCUCUCUCUACCUCUAUUUUUCUUAUUCUCUAAAUCUGUUUAUUUCAUUAAUGGCUAAGGAAAGAAUAUGAGACAGAUCAGGCCCAACUCUUACCUGUUUGAUCUUAGCCCAUCAAGCCCACCACUCCUUCUUCUUCCUACGUCACCUGCUAUACUAACCAGGGGAUCACCAUUGAUCUCCUAGAGCUCGAUCAGACGGCCCUCCCUUCCUCCUCUAGUCAUAUUAGAGCAACCCACGGGCCUAGGGUUCCUUCCUCCUUCCAGUUUCCCCUUCUCUUCCCCCUGCCGCCGCCAAGAGAGGCCUCCUCCACGCCUCGCCAUGGUCUUGAGCCAAGUUGGAGCUCGCGCUCGGUUUGAUCUGAGCCACCGUCUCCUUCCUCGGGGGCAUCAAGAUCUUCACCGUCGUCUUCCUCACCCCCGCACCCGACCACAAGGACUUCUCUGCUUCCCCUACUUCGUCUUCGUCACGCCCUCGAACACCUCCUCCUCGCCUCCUCGUCGCGUCCCCGGCCUCCUCGUCUAGUCCCACGGGACCAUGGUGAGCCCCUUCUCCUCCCCAUCUUCGUUUCCCCUGUGUUCUUGUCAUGGUAGCACCGUUCAGGACCGCCCCGAGCUCAUCCGCCAUGGAUGUCCUCGAGUUCGAGCACGCGCACCCGCACAUCUUGCUGCCGCCCCUGCUACACCCUUUCACACUCACGCACACCAUCACGCAUGCGUCGUAGCACCGCAGUUCGCGUCCCAAGGUCCGAGUCAUAGGCACCGAGGUGAGCACGAGCUCGUCCCCGAGCUCCCGCCGCCUUGCAAGCGCAUGCCCGCGGCAGCAGCCAGUCGCUUCGCGCGCACGCGCCCUAUUUUCCGCACGCCCGCUGACGCCUAGCAGCAGCGAUCGUCGUUGCAUUUGCUCGCCGUGGCGUAAGCUUCCCCGGCGCAUCAAUGGCUGAAGCUCGUUUUUUGUGUGUGUUUCGGUUAUCAUGGUAGGGAGCUUAACCCGUGCACGAGAAUUUUGCCAGUCGAGCUGGCCAUCACUGCGCAGAAUUAUCCCAGCACUGGGGUUCGAAUCCGACGCGUCCCUUUUUUAUGUUGCUGUGGUUUUCCAUUUUGCUCUGCACUCCACCGCGAGCACAGCCAGCCUAGCUUUGUCUUUCGCAGGUUCGUUUGUUAGAGUUUCUGGUACAGUUAAGUUAGCUCUGCUAAUUUGACAGGAACACGCCGCAAGCCUAGUGGUAGGCACUCCACGCAUUUUUUUUGUUUUGUUUAGAUUCUUUUUAGCAUUUGGAGACAAGUUAGAUAUGUAUGUUGAUCAGUUUUACGUCUACUUUCAGGUUACGUAAUAUGUUGGUCAGUUUUACGUCUACUUUCAGGUUAUGUAAAUUUUUGGCCAUGUUAGAAACCUUUAACCAGCUGUUGUUAUGUUGCAUUAUAGACAACAUGAUUAAAUUAAUGGCAGAAUUAACAUGGAACUUUGCAUGAUCUUAAUUUGAGGUUUACAAAAACACUUUGGCAUGAUCUUGGUGUGUAUUCUCAUCAAAAUUUAGUGUACUUUACAAUGGGAGGUUUUGUUCUCAGCUUUGAGCAAGCCAACCUCAUGUUUGUCUCAGAUUUGUGCACAAACCGUUUUCUCUUGCAUGUAUCACAACUUUCGCAUCGUAGCUCUAAAUAUUAUAAAUUUCAUAUGUAUUUGGCACCGCUCUUUCUAUUCCAUCCGGUGGCAUACUUGGGUUGUCGAGAUUUUGCCCAUGUCCUAUUCUCCUUCCUGGUUACCAUGUUUUCCCUCCCGUAAUCACUUUGUUUGCUCCGGUAGAACCGUAACUUCGAUCAUACCAUUCUUUAUAUGCAUUUAUUGUAAAUUGAGUGUAGAACAUGAACAUUGCCAUGUCAUGCAUUGUAUCAUCACCAUGAUCAUGUUCUGACCAGAUUAUAUAAUUCACCUAACUGCACACGAAUAUCACUUGAUCCACUCCACUAGUGGAACCAAGGCUUCCUUUAAACUUGUUGUAUUUUGUUGCCAUGUUACAACAUUUAAAAAUGACAUGCAUGCAUUUGAUUGAAGCAUCUAUGCCUUGUCUCGUUUGUUUAUCGUGUUGUUUGUUGUUUUCAUAUCUUUUUCUCCUCUCUAGAGUUUCGAAAGCAUUUCAGAGUGUGAGGAUUCGUUCGACUAUGUUGGUUCGUUCGACUAUGUUCUUCUUCUAAGCGGGAUCACACGCAAGAUGACCAUUUCACAAGAUACCAUUAGUAUCAUUGUCAUGCUAGUUGUCUCGUUUCUUUCGUUAUGUCUCGCUGCCUACCACCUGUUAAAUGGCAGCCUCUCAACAUUGCCAUGAAAACCUUCAACCUUUCUACAACCUAGCAAACCAUUGGUUGGCUAUGUUACCGCUUGCUUAAACAUAGGAUAGCAUUGCUAGUUGCAGGUACAGUUGCUUCGAUGUGAUAACAUGGGUUCUUUGUUAUAUCAUCAUAUUAAUGCUAUUUAAAUUAAUGCACUUAUAUACUUGGUAAAAGGUGGAAGGCUCGGCCUUUCUAGCCUGGUGUUUUGUUCCACCUUUGUUGCCUUAGUUUCGGCUACCGAUGUUAUAUUCCAUAACUGAGCGCUCCUACCACAAUCGGGGUUGUUAUGGAGACCCCCUUGAUAAUUCGUCUAAGAUCAAAACUAGCUUGGCAAGGCCUAACUUUGGUAUUACAUUUGCCUAAUAACUAAUAAAAAGCAUAGGGACCCGUCGGCACCCGCGGAUAAUUAAUCAACCCCCCGACUAGUGCUCCUCAUGAGUGUUGGUCCAAACUAGAGUCGUGUGCGGGGCUAACCCAGGGCAACUUGGGAGAUCUCUAUCAGGCCACUGUACGCUGUGCUCAUCUGAUUGUGCCCUGAGAACGAGAUACGCGUUUCCUAUUGGGAUCGUCGGUACGUCGGGUGGCCUUGCUCGGCUUGUUUUACCUUUUACGAAAUAUCUUGUGCAUCGGGAUUCCGGUGAUACUUUGGGUUAUCUGAGAGUUGAGGUUUUUCACUAAGGAAUCAGAGUAGAUCACGGGUUUCGUGGUCGAGGCUUUCUAUGCGGCUUGUGGUAAUUUGUGAUGGACUAGUCGGAGCACCCUUGCAGGCUUAAAUCUUUAGGAAAGUUGUGCCCGCGGUUAUGUGGCAACUUGGAAACUUUGUUUAACAUUCGGUUUCAGAUAACUUGAAUUAAGCUUAAUUGAAAUGUGACAACUGUGUGUGUAACCGUGAAUGUCUCUUUCGUGAGCUCCUUCUCCGAUUGGGGACACGGUGGGGUUAUGUCUGACGUAAGUAGGUGUUCAGAAUCAUUAAUUUGAUCACCAUUAGUUCAUGCCCGAUUAUGCGUAGACCAUCCCCCUCUUAUUCUUGUGCGCGUAAGUUAGUCACUCAAAUAAAUGCUUAGUCACUUGUUGCAGUCUCACCACUAAACCAUAUCUCACCUAUUAAGCUUUGCUAGUCUUGAUACAUUUGGAAAUGAGAUUGCCGAGUCCCCUAUGGCUCACAUUUUACUACAACAUUAGUCUUCUACAUGAUGACUGUAUAUUGUUGUAUUGACGUAGUCUUGAUGUAGUUUGUGGCGAGUGUAAGCCAACUCCUUAUACUCAUAUUUUCAGUACACGUACUUUUAACGAUAUACAUGCUUUUGAAAUGAUGAGAUGUGUUUCUAUCCCUAUCGAGGCCCUUGCGCCAAAAUAAGGAUAUGAUCGCGUCUUGGGCGUUACAACCCAAGACUAUUGUUUCUGAUCGUGAUGUGAAGUUCAUGAGGUACUUUUGGAAGACACUUUGGGGGAAGCUGGGAACGAACUUGUUAUUCAGUACUACUUGUCACCCCCAAACCGAUGGUCAAACGGAGGUGGUGAAUCGCACACUUUUAACAUUGCUCUGAACCAUGAUCAAGAAAAAUAUACGUGACUGGGAAGAAUGUUUGCCGCAUGUGGAGUUUGCUUAUAACAGGGCGGUGCAUUCUACCACGCAACUUUGUCCGUUUGAGGUGGUGUAUGGUUUCAAACCCAUUACCCCACUUGAUUUGUUGCCGCUUCCUAUUCAACAAAGAGUCAACAUGGAGGCAUUGAAGCGUGCAGAUUUUGUGAAGAAGAUACAUGAGAAGACAAAGGAAGCAAUUGAGAAGAAGGGCAAGCAUAUAGCUGAGCAGGUUAACAAGAAGCGCAAGAAGGUGUUAUUUCAGCCGAUUGACAUGGUGUGGGUACACUUUCGGAAGGAUAGGUUCCCCAAUCUGCGCAAGUCCAAGUUAAUGCCACAUGGUGCUGGUCCAUAUAAAGUGCUUACAAAAAUCAAUGAUAAUGCAUAUAAGAUUGAUCUUCCUACGGAUGAGUUUGGCGGGAGUAAUUCUUCCAAUGUUGUUGAUUUGACGCCAUAUACUGGAGAUGACCUUGACGCGUCGGGGUCGACGCCUAUUCAAGGGGGGGGGGGGAUGAUGAUGACAUCCCUAAUCCUUUACCAUCUUUUCCUAUUGACGAUGAUGCUGCUCAAGAUAAGCUCAAUGAAGUGAGGAUUGGUCCAAUGACAAAAGCUCGUGCAAAGUUACUUGAGCAACACGUAAACUCUCGCUUAGUUGAAAAUAAUGUUUGUGUUAACGAGAAUUUUAAACUAGCUAAAUCUAUGCACUUGUGUAUGAGAAGGUUUACUGAUAACACAAGCAUUGGAGGAUAAAUGGGACGCGUUGAUGAGGAUGGCAAGCAAAAGGGAGGCGAGGGAGAAAGUGGAGCCAUCAAGGGCAAGAAUUUCGGUUCGGACUACCAGAAGUGCUGAAUUUGAAACAACUGUGGAUUCUUCAUACGGACUCCAAAUAAAGCAAAUAAGCACUUUAUGAAGAGGAAAUUACAAGAGCUUUCCUAUGGGUCUAGCCCCAUGCAUCGGUUCAACUCGUACUGGGCGCGGUGACCGAAACAAGUCACGAGUCGUUUUUUGUCUGUUUUCAAAGAGAGUCCCUUUAAGUUAGGGAAGUUAGAGAUAUUAUUGUUUCGACUCCAACACAAUGUUGGACGUCUAGAAGCCUUUAUAAGGCUUGUAAUUUGGAGUUUUAGAGCAAGAUCAUAUUUAAACAAAGCCCUAGAUCGAACUGCAGCAAGCAUUCAUCUAAAAUCGAGUUCCUCUUUGCUGCGAUCAGGAAUUCACCCUCUCUACUUUGUUGCGAUGUGGAGAGUUUAGCUAUCAAAGUUUUAGUGUGAUUUAUUGUUCCAUUGGGAAUGAGUAGAUUGCAAAACCGCUUCGUGGUCGGGGGCAACGUUGCACCAGCGUGUGGUGUUGCGAAUAUCCAUUGGGUUGAAGAGUUGUUGCAUUGGCAACGGGAAAAUAACCGGGGAGUUUGAGAGCAUCCGCGAGUUAUCUUCAUCGUCCAUCACUUCCACCAUCGGCUCACUGAGAAGAUCGGGCCACCCCUUAUCAUAUAAGGCCAACUCCAGCGCACGACCCCAUCCCGUCUGUCCUUGUCCAUUUGGGGCAAAACGGACAAACCCCACGGCCAAGCGCGCGACGGCCUGGAUCCAUCUUGUCCGUUUUGUGUUCGGUCUGAUCCAUUUCCACUGCAAACAUGCGCCCAGUUUGGGUCCAGGCGGACAACGAAUGGACGCGUCUCUCGUGUGCAUCGGGGUCGCGUGUGAAGCGGCGACCUACCUCCCACCGCCCAAAUUAACUACACACGCGCGGUCGGCCCCACCUGUCAUCCGUCCAGGUGGAGCUGGUCGUGCACGACCAUAGACAUGGCCGACGUCGUGGGGGUCGGGUCUUGGUGCCCCACACCGCUGCGGUGACCGGAACGUGAGCCGACGCCGCGGGGGGAGGUGGUGUAGGCGCCUUCCACCUUCCAGGGACCACCGUUCCACCUCUAGCCACCGCCACCCCACACCGACCUCAGUGGCGACUAGGACGACAAUGGUGGCUCAUGAGACGACGACGGGCACGGGAGCAAUGUGUCGGCGGUGCUUAUCUUUAAAAAAAAUUAUAUUAAUUAUGUUCUAAGCACUUUGUAGCCAUCAAGACUAUAAUGUUUAAUUAUGUUUUAAUCAUUAUGUUUGUGUAUUAUUUGAAUUUUUGUCAUUUUUGUGAUUUUUUGUAUCUUGUUCAUCGCGGACAUGAUUUAGGGUGCGACCGCGCGUUGGACACAUCGACUCGACAACGACAUGAUCCGGACAUGGACUACCCCAUUAGAGCAACUCCAACGGGGCGACCCAUUUCGUCCGUCGUCGUCCGUUUGGGUCCGCGCGGACAAAAGGUUGGCCCAACCCGCCGACCCAAACGGACGCGCAUCCGCUUUUUGUCUGUCUGCCGACCCAUUCUCAGCCCAAUUUUGAGCCUGAUUUCCGUCGGUGCAGACACGAAGCGGUCGCGCGCGGUGCACGCCUACUUCCCUCCUUGGCCCGUAAGUCGGCAACAAAGCAACCACUUUUUCCCUCCAUUUUCUCCAAACUCUCCCGCUCACUCCCACGCCCGGUCCCACCAUCAUGGAUGACGACUUCGAGGCCGCCGCCGCCAUCACCUCAAUGGCCUCGUCCGCUGCCGCCGCCGAAGCCAGAGGCAAGGACCGCGCCCCCCGCAAAGGCGAGGUGUCCCCCAAGAAGAAGAAUAAGGAGUUGACGCCUCAGGAACGGGCCGUGGAGUGGGAUAAGAGGAAGGGUCGGAGGCACGCGCAGGAUGCAAGGGGUGAGGCAGCUCCCGCCGCCGCCUUCGCCGCCGCCGGGCAGCAGGAAGACACCAAUGCCCGGGUGAAGGCGACAACGAUGGAGGCCUUGUUGUACCUAGGGGUAAACUGUUGGAAAUAUGCCCUAGAUGCAAUAAUAAAUUAGUUAUUAUUAUAUUUAUUUGUUCAUGAAAAUCAUUUAUUAUCCAUGCUAUAAUUGUAUUGAUUGGAAACACAAAUACAUGUGUGGAUACAUAGACAAAACAGUGUCCCUAGUAAGCCUCUAGUUGACUAGCUCGUUGAUCAAAGAUGGUCNNNNNNNNNNGCCAUAGACAAGUGUUGUCACUUGAUAAUGGGAUAACAUCAUUAGGAGAAUCAUGUGAUGGACAAGGCCCAAGUUAUAAACGUAGCAUGUGAUCGUGUUAUUUUGUUGCUAUUGUUUUCUGCGUGUCAAGUAUUCAUUCCUAUGACCAUGAGAUCAUGUAACUCACUGACACCAGAGGAAUGCCUUGUGUGUAUCAAACAUCACAACGUUACUAGGUGACUAUAAAGGUGCUCUACAGGUAUAUCUGAAGAUGUCCAUUGAGUUAGCAAGGAUCAAGAGUGGGAUUUGUCACUCCGUGUGACGAAGAGGUAUCUCGGGGCCCACUCGGUAAUACAACAUCACAUAUAAGCCUUGCAAGCAAUGUGACCCAAGUGUGGGUCACGGGAUCUUGUAUUACGGAACGAGUAAAGAGACUUGCCGGUAAUGAGAUUGAAAUAGGUAUAUGCAUACCGGCGAUCAAACCUCGGGCAAGUAACAGAUCGAAAGACAAAGGGAAUGUUAUACGGGAUUAUAUGAAUCCUUGGCACAGAGGUUCAACCGAUAAGAUCUUCGUAGAAUAUGUAGUAUCCAAUAUGGGCAUCCAGGUCCCGCUAUUGGAUAUUGACCGAGAAGUGUCUCGGGUCAUGUCUACAUAGUUCUCGAACCCGCAGGGUCUAUACACUUAAGGUUCGAUGAUGUUUUAGUAUAGUUGAGUUACAUGUGUUGGUGACCGAAGGUUGUUCGGAGUCCUGGAUGAGAUCGCGUACGUCACGAGGGUUUCCGGAAUGGUCCGGAAACAAAGAUUGAUAUCUAGGAAGUUGGAGUUUGGAUUCCGGAAAGUUUUCGGGCAUUGCCGACAGUGUACGAGUAGUGACGAAUGGGUUCCGGGGGCCCACUAGGUGGGCCCACCACACCCCAAGGGCUCCACGUGGGUUUGUUGGAUGUGCAAUAAGGUAUAAUGGGCUGACAAAGUCAUCCAAGGAAAGCCCAUGAGGAAAAAGUGGAAAAACCAAAAGAGGUGGGAAAAUAAGGAAGGAGUCCUAAUCCAAGUGGGAUUGGAGAAGGACUCCUCCCUCCCACUUCGGCCGACCCAAGGAGGGUUUCCUUGGUGCGCCAAGGCAGCCCAAGGCUGCCUCUCCCCUCCUCCUAUAUAUACUAGAGGUUUAGGACUUUUGAGAUACAACUUUUCCACGUGCAACUAAAACCUACACCUCGUAGUUCUUCCUCUAGAUUAGAUUUCUACGGAGCUCGGGCGGAGCCCUGCAGGAAUAGAUCAUCACCAACACCGGUGCGCCGUCACGCUGCCGAAGAACUCAUCUACUUCUCUGUCUCUCUUGCUAGAUCAAUAGGGUCGAGAUCGUCAUCGAGUUGUACGUGUGCUGAACGCGGAGGUGUCGUCCGUUCGGCGCUAGAUCAAAACGGAUCGUGGGACGACGGUGAUUUCAAUCACAAAGCAGUACCACUACAUCAACCGUGUUUCUUAACGCUUCCUGCUGAGCGAUCUACAAGGGUAUGUGGAUCAAAUCUCCCUCUCGUAGAUGGACAUCACCAUGAUAGGUCUUCGGUGCGUAGGAAAUUUUUUGUUUCCCAUGCAACGUUCCCCAACAGUGGCAUCAUGAGUUAGGUUCAUGCGUAGAUGUUAUCUCGAGUAGAACACAAAAGUUUUUGUGGGCGUUGAUGUUCGAUUUUCUGCCCUCCUUAGUCUUUUCUCGAUUCAGCGGUAUUGUUGGAUUGAAGCGGCCCGGACCGACAUUACUCGUACGCUUACGAGAGACUGGUUUCAUCGACUAACAUGCAACUCGGUGCAUAAAGAUGACUCGCGGAUGCCUGUUUCUUCAGCUUUAGUUGAAUUGGAUUUGACCGAGGCGAUCCUUGAAGAGAGGUUAAAUAGCAAUUUGCACAUCACCGUUGUGGUGUUUGCGUAAGUAAGAUGCGAUCAUACUAGAUACACAUAGCAGCCACGUAAAACAUGCAACAACAAAUUAGAGGACUAACUUGUUUUUGCAUGGUAUCUUGUGAUGUGAUAUGGCGAAAGACAUGAUGUGAUAUAUUGGAUCUAUGAGAUGAUCAUGUUGUAAUAGUUAAUAUCGACUUGCACGUCGAUGCUACGGCAACUGGCAGGAGCCAUAGGGUUGUCUUUAAACUAACGUUUGUGUUUCCAGAUGCGUUUACUAUAUUGUUAGGUUCUAGCUUUAGUAGUAAUAGCAUAGAUAGCACGACAACCUUGAUGGCGGCACGAUGAUGGAGAUCAUGGUGUGGCGCCGGUGAAGAUGAAGAUCAUGCCGGUGCUUUGGUGAUGGAAUUCAAGAAGCACAAAAUCAUGGCCAUAUCAUGUCACUUAUGAUUUUCAUGUGAUGUUAAUCCUUUUAUGCACCUUAUCUUGCUUAGAACGACGGUAGCAUUAUAAGGUGAUCCCUCACUAAAAUUUCAAGAUGAAAUUGUGUUCUCCCCGACUGUGCACCGUUGCGACAGUUCGUCGUUUCGAGACACCACGUGAUGAUCGGGUGUGAUAGACUCAACGUUCACAUACAAUGGGUGCAAAACAGUUGCACACGCGGAACACUCGGGUUAAACUUGACGAGCCUAGCAUGUGCAGACAUGGCCUCCGAACACAAGAGACCGAAAGGUCGAGCAUGAAUCGUAGAGUUGAUAUGAUUAGCAUAGAGAUGUUUACCACUGAAACUAUACUCAACUCACGUGAUGAUCGGACUUGAGUUAGUGAAUUUGGAUCAUGCACCACUCAAAUUACUAGAGGGAUGUAUUUUUUAGUGGGAGUUUAUUUAGUAAUUUGAUUAGUUAAACUCUAAUUAUCAUGGGACGGAUCGUGGGAGAAUGGUGAUUUGAAUCACGAAGCAGUACCACUACAUCAACCGCGUUUCUUAACGCUUCCCGCUGAGCGAUCUACAAGCGUAUGUGGAUCAAAUCUCCCUCUCGUAGAUGGACAUCACCAUGAUAGGNNNNNNNNNNUGUGCGUAGGUAUUUUUUUUCCCAUGCAACUUUCCCUAACAUAAACCUAGGUGGCACGCCUUCAUGGAAAUCCAAAGGAGGAGGCUUGAGAUGGACGCGGAGAGGCAAGCCAAGAUGCUUUGAAUUGGAGGAGGUGAAGCAAGCCAAGAUGCUCGAGAUCGAGGCCACGAAUGCCAGGACCAAGGCAAAAGAAGUGGCCGUCUCAAGCAUGAAGACGGGAGCGGAGAUCAUGAAGGUUGAUCUUAACACCGUGUCGCCGAGGAAGAGGCUAUGGUUUGAGAAGAUGCAGGCCAAAAUGCUGAAGUUCGACCAGCUGUGAUUUGCGGCGGGGAUCACGGAACCUUUUUUGUAUGUCGUCAAGUGUGCUGGCAUGACCACAUACCGACAUGGCGUGGUCGAAUUUGGCGUGCUCACAUGUGUGUCGGCCGCUGGCAAGUGUACCAGCAUGAACUACAUGGUGGUUUAAUGUAGGCUGGCAAUGUAUGUCGGCCGCUAGCGUGGUGCCGGCAUGAACUCUUGGGCGUUGGCAUGCUGGCCUGUUUUAUCUACUGUACGGACAAAAAAUGGGUAGCCCGCGUUGGGCAUGCGGCCGACCCAAAAAGAAAAGUGGGCGGACCCGGAGCGGGGGCCGACCCAAAUAGACAAAAAGCGGACGAAACCACCAUCUGUAUGGGUCGACUGAUUGGAGUUGCUCUUACCGAAAAAGGCUUUCGCCCCACUUUGUAGAUAAAGAAAACCACCGAAGCACAACAUCCGACAACAGUCAAAACACCACACACACACACACCCGCCGCACCGGAAGUAGCACAACAUAAGGUACAAAGGUUACGAUGUGGGCACAGCACUACGAGCCCAAAGAAAAAGAAACAACACGUCGGCGCGACCUAUAGGAUGUAACACUAAUCUAGCUCCGGAGGUGGCGGAGGUAGCGGUGGCCCCACGCGGAGAGCCAUCACACAAAGAAGAGAGAUGAUGGAGUUGAUAGCAUCUCGGUCCUGCGAGCAGCUAAGCGCCCACCAGAGCUGCAAAUAUCCACCCAAUUUGAAAACCGUGUCAGUCACACGAUGAAGAGGAAUACAUUAACUAACAAGCUUAUUCCGAACAGUCCAUGGCGUCCAGGCCAGCACCCCAAUCGUUAGCCACCUAGUAUGUCGGACAGAUGGGGGCGUAGCCUGGAGUCCGGCGAGAACGUCAGGGAAGUUUGUGUGGCACCAAGUGCCACCAAUCACUUCGUGGAAACAACUCCACAGGAAUUGCGCGGACACGCAAGAAAAGAAGAUGUGAUUCCAGUCUUCAUCCGUCGUAGAGAGCAGACAUAUGCCAUCCCCUCGUUCGUUCCUCUUAAGUCCUUGACACCACAGGGAAGGCGGCCACGAAGCCACUGCCAAAGGAAAAUCCGAAUCUUCAAGGGAAGCCUAAUCUCCCAGAGCUCCGCGAAAGGCUCGAUGCGUAGGGAUGGCGCUAUGGCCCGGUAGAGGGAUUUCGUACAAAAACACCCCGAUGGCUCUAGGCGCCAAGAGAGACAGUCGAGGGAACAAUUGUUGGAAAAUGCCCUAGAGGAAAUAAUAAAAUGGUUAUUAUCAUAUUUCCUUGUUCAUGAUAAUUGUCUAUUGUUCAUGCUAUAAUUGUAUUAACAGGAAAUAGUAAUACAUGUGUGAAUAAAUAGAUCACAAUGUGUCCCUAGCAAGCCUCUAGUUGGCUAGCUCGUUGAUCAAUAGAUGAUCAUGGUUUCCUGAUCAUGGGCAUNNNNNNNNNNGGGAAAUAGUAAUACAUGUGUGAAUAAAGAGAUCACAAUGUGUCCCUAGCAAGCCUCUAGUUCGCUAGCUCGUUGAUCAAUAGAUGAUCAUGGUUUCCUGAUCAUGGGCAUUAUAUGCCAUUGAUAACGGGAUCACAUCAUUGGGAGAAUGAUGUGAUGGACAAGACCCAAUCCUAAGCAUAUCACUAGAUCGUAUUGUUCGUAUGCUAAAGCUUUUAUAAUGUCAAGUGUAUUUUCCUUCAACAAGGAGAUUGUGCAACUCCCGGAUACCGUAGGAGUGCUUUGGGUGUAUCAAACGUCACAACGUAACUGGGUGACUAUAAAGGUGCACUACGGGUACCUCUGAAAGUGUCUGUUGGGUUGGUAUGAAUCGAGAUCAGGAUUUGUCACUCCUCGUGACGGAGAGGUAUCUCUGGGCCCACUCGGUAGAACAUCAUCAUGAGAUCAAUGUGACUAAGAAGUUAGUCACACGAUGACGUGCUACGGAACAAGUAAAGAGACUUACUGAUAACAAUAUUGAACAAGGUAUAGGUAUACCGACGAUCGAAUCUCGGGCAAGUUCUAUACCGACAGACAAAGGGAAUUGUAUACGGGAUUGAUUGAAUCCUUGACAUCGUGGUUCAUCCGAUGAGAUCAUCAUGGAGCAAGUUGGAGCCACCAUGGGUAUCCAGACCCCGCUGAUGGUUAUUUCCCGGAGAGGUGUCUCAGUCAUGUCUGCGUGUCUCCCGAACCCGUAGGGCCUACACAUUUAAGGUUUGAUGACGCUAGGGUAUAGGGAAUUGUUAUACGAGGUUACCGAAAGUUUUUUCGGAGUCCCGGAUGAGAUCCCGGACGUCACGAGGAGCUCCGGAAUGGACCGGAGGUAAAGAUUGAUAUAUAGGAUGGAUGGUUUUGGACACCGGAAAUGUUUCGGGCGUCACCGGUAAUGGUCCCGGGGGUCCACCGGGAGGCGCCACCAGCUCCAAGAGGUAGCAUGGGCCAAAAGAGGGAGGGCAACCAGCCCAAAGUGGGCUGGUGCCCCUCCCACAAGGAGGCCCAAGGCGCAGGAGGUGGAGAGGGGGGGGGAAACCCUAGGCGCUGGUGGGCCUAAGGCCCACCUAGGUGUGCGCCAACCCCUUCCCCUGCCCUGGCCGCCGCACCUCCCAUCUAGGGGGGCUGCCGCACCACCUAGGGUGGGAACCCUAGGGGUGGCACCCCCCUCCCCUCCUCCUAUAUAUAGUGGGGGGUUUUGGGACUGUUUUACACACAGUUUUCCCUCCCCUCGGCGCAGCCCUGCCCCCUUCUUCCUCCUCUCCCACCGUGCUUGGCGAAGCCCUGCCGGGAGACCUCGUCUCUCCAUCGACACCACGUCGUCGUGCUGCCGGAGAUCUUCCCCAACCUCUCCCUUGUCCUUGCUAGAUCAAGGUGCAGGAGACGUCACCGAGCUGCACGUGUGUUGAACGCGGAGGUGCCGUGGUUCGGCACUAGAUCGAAAUCACACCGCAAUCUGAAUCGACGCGAGUACGACUCCAUCAACCGCGUUCUAGCAACGCUUCCACUUAGCAAUCUUCAAAGGUAUGAAGAUGCACUCACCCCUCUCUCGUUACUGGUCUCUCCAUAGGAAGAUCUGAAUAUGCGUAGGAAUUUUUUUGAAUUUAUGCUACAUUACCCAACAGUGGCAUCCGAGCGAGGUUUUCUACCCGUAGAUUCUAUGCACGAGUAGAACACAAAAGGUUGUGGGCGAUGAUUUGUCAAUUGCAUGCCGCUAAUAGUCUUAUUCUUUUCCGGCGGUAUUGUGGGAUGAAGCGAUCCGGACCGACAUUACACGUACGCUUACGUGAGACUGGUUCCACCGACAGACAUGCACACCGUGCAUAAAGGUGGCUAGCGGGUGUCUGUCUCUCCUACUCUAGUCGGAUUGUAUUUGAUGAAAAGGGUCCUUAUGAAGGGUAAAUAGCUUUGGCAUAUCAUCGUUGUGGCUGUUACGUAGGUAAGAAAGCGUUCUUGCUAGAAACCCAAAUCAGCCACAUAAAACUUGCAACAACAAUUAGAGGACGUCUAACUUGUUUUUGCAGGGUUUGACUUAUGAUGUGAUAUGGCCAAAGUUGUGAUGUUGCAUGUAUGAUGUAUGAGAUGAUAAUGUUAUUAUAAUAGGUUUCACGACUUGUAUGUCGAUGAGUAUGACAACCGGCAGGAGCCAUAGGAGUUGUCUUAAUUUAUUGUAUGAGAUGCAACGCCCUGUGCUUACUACUUUUACUUCAUUGCUAACGGUUAGCUACAGUAGUAGUGAUACUAGUAGUUGGCGUGACAACUUCACGGAGACAAGAUGAUGGAGAUCAUGAUCAUGGAGAUCAUGGGGUCACGCCGGUGACAAUGAUGAUCAUGUGAUGCCUGAAGAUGGAGACCGAAAGAGCAAAGAUGAUAAUGGCCAUAUCAUGCCACUAUAUGAUUGCAUUGUGAUGUUUAUCAUAUUUUUCAUCUUAUUGCUUAGAAAGAUGGUAGCAUAAUAAGAUGACCCCUCUUAAAAUUUCGAGAACGUAUUCCCCUAAGUGUGCACCGUUGCGAAGGAUCGUUGUCUCGAAGCACCACGUGAUGAUCGGGUGUGAUAGAUUCUAACGUUCGCAUACAACGGGUGUAAGCCAGAUUUACACACGCGAAACACCUAGGUUGACUCGACGAGCUUAGCAUGUAAAGACAUGACCUCGAAUACAAGAGACCGAAAGGUCAAACAUGAGUCGUAUGGUUGAAUACAAUCAGCAUGAAGUUGCUCACCAUGGUGACUAGUCCGUCUCACGUGAUGAUCGGCCAUGGGUUAGUCAACAUGGAUCAUGUAUCACUUAGAUGACUAGAGGGAUGUCGAUUUAAGUGGGAGUUCAUACUUAAUUUGAUUAAAUGAACUUAAUUGUCAUGAACUUAGUCUAAAAGUUGUCUUUGUAAAUAUUGUAGAUGGCCAACGUCAACCUCAAUUUCAACGCAUUCCUAGAGAAAAACAAGCUGAAAGAUGAUGGUAGCAACUAUGCGGACUGGGUUCGCAACUCGAAGCUCAUCCUUGAAGCAGCUAAAAAGGCUUAUGUCCUUGAUGCGCCACUAGGUGACCCUCCCGCUCCUGCUGCAGCCGAGGACAUUCUGAACAUCUGGCAAACGCGGAGUGAUGACUACUCUCUGGUUAGGUCUGGCAUGUUAUACAGUUUGGAAACGGGGCUCCAAAGGCGUUUUGAGCAACACGGUGCAUAUGAGAUGUUCCAAGAGCUGAAACUAGUUAUUCAAGCUCAUGCCCGUGUCGAGAGAUAUCAAGUUGCCGACAAGUUCUUUAGCUGUAAGAUGAAGGAGAACAGCUCUGUCAGUGAGCACAUACUCAAAAUGUCUGGGUUACAUGAUCGUCUGACAUCACUUGGAGUCGAACUUCGGGAUGAUGCUAUAAUUGACAGAAUCCUCCAGUCUCUCCCACCAAGCUACAAAGGUUUUGUGCUAAACUACAACAUGCAAGGGAUGGAGAAGACCAUUCCCGAGUUGUACUCGAUGCUCAAGUCUGCAGAAGUAGAAAUCAAGAAAGAGCAUCAAGUGUUGAUGGUCAACAAGACCACUAGUUUCAAGAAGGGCAAGGGUAAGAAGAACUUCAAGAAAGGCGGCAAAGCCGUUGCCGCGCCCGGUAAGCCAGAUGCCGAGAAGAAGAAAAAGAAUGGACCCAAGCCUGAGACUGAGUGCUUCUAUUGCAAGGAAAAAGGUCAAUGGAAGCGGAACUGCCCCAAAUACUUAGCGGACAAGAAGGCCGGCAACGUUAAAGGUAUAUGUGAUAUACAUGUUAUUGAUGUGUACCUUACCAGCGCUCGUAGUAGCUCCUGGGUAUUUGAUACCGGUGUUGUUGCUCACAUUUGCAACUCAAAACAGGAACUGCGGAAUAAGCGGAGACUGGCCAAGGACGAGGUGACGAUGCGAGUCGGGAAUGGCUCCAAGGUCAAUGUGAUCGCCGUCGACACGCUACCUCUACAUCUACCGUCGGGAUUAGUUUUAAACCUUAAUAAUUGUUAUUUAGUACCAACUUUGAGCAUGAAUAUUGUAUCAGGGUCUUGCUUAAUCCGAGACGGCUACUCAUUUAAGUCAGAGAAUAAUGGUUGUUCUAUUUAUAUGAGUGAUAUGUUUUAUGGUCAUGCUCCGCUGGUGAAUGGUUUAUUCUUGAUGAAUCUCGAUCGUGAUGUUACACAUAUUCAUAGUGUGAGUACCAAAAGAUGUGAAGUUGAUAAUGAUAGCCCCACAUACUUGUGGCACUGUCGCCUUGGUCAUAUCGGUGUUAAGCGCAUGAAGAAGCUCCAUACUGAUGGACUAUUAGAGUCUCUUGACUUUGAAUCAUUUGACACAUGCGAACUGUGCCUCAUGGGCAAGAUGACUAAGACUCCAUUCUCAGGAAUAAUGGAGAGAGCAACCGACUUAUUGGAAAUAAUACAUACUGAUGUUUGUGGUCCAAUGAACGUUGAAGCUCGCGGUGGCUAUCGUUAUGUUCUCACUCUCACCGAUGAUUUGAGUAGGUAUGGGUAUAUCUACUUGAUGAAGNNNNNNNNNNNNNNNNNNNNNNNNNNNNNNNNNNNNNNNNNNNNNNNNNNNNNNNNNNNNNNNNNNNNNNNNNNNNNNNNNNNNNNNNNNNNNNNNNNNNAGAAAAGCUUUAGCAUACGAACAAUACGAUCUAGUGAUAUGCUUAGGAUUGGGUCUUGUCCAUCACAUCAUUCUCCCAAUGAUGUGAUCCCGUUAUCAAUGACAUCUAAUGCCCAUGAUCAGGAAACCAUGAUCAUCUAUUGAUCAACGAGCUAGCGAACUAGAGGCUUGCUAGGGACACAUUGUGAUCUCUUUAUUCACACAUGUAUUACUAUUUCCCGUUAAUACAAUUAUAGCAUGAACAAUAGACAAUUAUCAUGAACAAGGAAAUAUGAUAAUAACCAUUUUAUUAUUGCCUCUAGUGCAUAUUUCCAACAGUCUCCCACUUGUACUAGAGUCAAUAAUCUAGUUACAUUGUGAUGUAUCGAACACCCAUGGCAUUAUGGCGUUGAUCAUGUUUUGCUCGAGGAAGAGGUUUCGUCAACGGGUCUGCGACAUUUAGAUCCGUAUGUACUUUACAAAUCUCUAUUACUCCACUCUGGACAUGGUCCUGGAUAGAGUUGUAGCGGCAUUUGAUGUGCUUGGUCUUCCGGUGAAACCUGGGCUCCUUGGCGAUGGCAAUGGCCCAGUGUUAUCACAGAAGAGCGUCAUUGGACCCGACACGCUUGGAAUCACUCCAAGGUCGGUGAUGAGCUCCUUCAUCCAAAUUCCUUCAUGAGCCGCUUGGAAUCACACUGCCCCACCAUUCAAAACAUAUACGUAUCCGUUCUGUGACUUAGAGUCAUCCGGAUCUGUGUCGAAACUAGCGUCGAAGUAACCCUUUACGACGAGCUCUUCGUCACCUCCAUAAACAAGAAACAUCUCCUUAGUCCUCUUUAGGUACUUAAGGAUAUUCUUGACCGCUGUCCAGUGUUCCAUACCGGGAUCACUUUGGUACCUCCCUACCAAACUUAUGGCAAGGUUUAUAUCAGGUCUGGUACACAGCAUGGCAUACAUUAGAGAGCCUACGGCUGAAGCGUAGGGGACAGUACUCAUCUUCUCUCGAUCUGCUGUCGUCAUCGGUGACUGAGUCUUACUCAAUCUCAUACCUUGCAAAACUGGCAAGAACCCUUUCUUUGAGUUUUCCAUAUUGAACUUCUUCAAUAUCUUGUCAAGGUAUGUACUUUGCGAAAGACCUAUGAGGCGCCUCGAUCUAUCUCUAUAGAUCUUGAUGCCUAAUAUGUAUGCAGCUUCUCCAAGGUCCUUCAUUGAAAAACUCUUGUUCAAAUAGGCCUUUAUGCUCUCCAACAUCUCUAUAUUAUUCCCCAUCAAUAAUAUGUCAUCCACAUACAGUAUGAGGAAAGGUACAUAGCUCCCACUCACUUUCUUGUACAGACAGGCUUCUCCGUAAACCUGUAUGAACCCAAACGCUUUAAUCACCUCAUUAAAGUGAAUGUUCCAACUCCGAGAUGCUUGCACUAGGACAUAGAUGGAGCGCUAGAGCUUGCACACUUUGUUAGCACCCUUAGGGUCGACAAAACCUUCUGGUUGCAUCAUAUACAACUCUUCCUUAAGGUUCCCGUUAAGGAACGCGGUUUUGACGUCCAUUUGCCAAAUUUUAUAAUCAUAAAAGGCGGCAAUUGCUAACAUGAUUCGGACUGAUUUCAGCUUCACUACGGGAGAGAAAGUCUCUUCGUAGUCAAUUCCUUGAAUUUGUCGAAAACCCUUUGCGACAAGUCGAGCUUUAUAAACUGUUACAUUACCGUUUGCAUCAGUCUUCUUCUUGAAGAUCCAUUUAUUUUCUAUGGCUCGCCCGUCAUCGGGCAAGUCCACCAAAGUCCAUACCUUGUUCUCAUACAUGGAUUCUAUCUCGGAUUUCAUAGCUUCAAGCCAUUUGUUGGAAUGCGGGCCCGCCAUCGCUUCUUCAUAGUUUGAAGGUUCACCGUUGUCUAACAACAUGAUUUCCAUCACAGGGUUGCCGUACCACUCUGGUGCGGAGCGUGCCCUUGUGGACCUUCGCGGUUCAAUAGUAACUUGAUCCGAAGCUUAAUGAUCAUUAUCAUUAACUUCCUCUUCAGUUGGUGCAGGCGCCACAUGAACAAUUUCCCGCGCCGCGCUACUUUCCUGUUCGAGAGGGGGUGUAAUUACCUCAUCAAGUUCUACCUUCCUCCCACUUACUUCUUUUGAGAGAAACUCUUUCUCUAGAAAGGAUCCGUUCUUGGCAACAAAGGUUUUACCUUCAGAUCUAAGAUAGAAGGUAUACCCAAUAGUUUCCUUAGGGUAUCCUAUGAAUACGCAUUUCUCCGCUUUGGGUUCGAGCUUUUCUGGUUGAAGUUUCUUCACAUAAGCAUCGCAGCCCUGAACUUUAAGAAACGACAACUUAGGCUUCUUGCCAAACCAUAGUUCAUACAGUGUCGUCUCAACGGAUUUAGACGGUGCCCUAUUUAAAGUGAAUUCUACAGUUUCUAAUGCGUAUCCCCAAAAUGAUAGCGGUAAGUCGGUAAGAGACAUCACAUAUCGUACCAUAUCUAAUAAAGUGCGAUUACGACGUUCAGACACUCCGUUGCGUUGCGGUGUGCCAGGUGGCGUCAGUUGUGAAACGAUUCCACACUUCCUUAGGUGUGUGCCAAACUCAUGACUCAAAUAUUCUCCUCCACGAUCAGAUCGUAGACACUUAAUUUUUCUGUCACGUUGAUUCUCAACCUCACUCUAAAAUUCCUUGAACUUCUCAAACGUCUCAGAUUUGUGNNNNNNNNNNNNNNNNNNNNNNNNNNNNNNNNNNNNNNNNNNNNNNNNNNNNNNNNNNNNNNNNNNNNNNNNNNNNNNNNNNNNNNNNNNNNNNNNNNNNCCAAGUUCGAUCAAUCAAGGGGGCUCCUAGGUCGGUCCUUGCUCUGAUACCAACUUGUCAUGCCCAAGAUGCGACCCUAUCCUCAAUUUGGCACGAAGGCCUCGUCAGGGAUAGAAGCGCAUCUCGUCGUGUCGCAAGAAUGGAUAUCGUUACAAGUACAUGUACUGAAAAGAAGAGAUAUAUAUACAGAGUUGGCUUACACUCGCCACAAGCUACAUCAGAGUCACAUCGGUACAUUACAUAAUCAUCAAGAGUAAGAGCAGGGUCCGACUACGGACGAAAACAAACAAGAAAAUGAAACGACGUCCAUCCUUGCUAUCCCAGGCUGCCGGCCUGGAGCCCAUCCUAGAUCGAUGAAGAAGAAGAAGAAGAAGCAACUCCAAAUGAACAAUCAACGCGCUCGCGUCAAGUAACCUUUACAUGUACCUGCAACUGGUGUUCUAGCAAUCUGUGAGCCACANNNNNNNNNNNNNNNNNNNNNNNNNNNNNNNNNNNNNNNNNNNNNNNNNNNNNNNNNNNNNNNNNNNNNNNNNNNNNNNNNNNNNNNNNNNNNNNNNNNNNNNNNNNNNNNNNNNNNNNNNNNNNNNNNNNNNNNNNNNNNNNNNNNNNNNNNNNNNNNACUCAGCAAUUUCAUUUCCAAAGGUAUCAAGACUAGCAAAGCUAAGUGGGUGAGGUAUGGUUAAGUGGUGAGGUUGCAGCAGCGGCUAAGCAUAUAUUUGGUGGCUAAACUUACGAGUACAAGAAAUAAGAGGGGGAAGAUCUACGCAUAACGGACGUGUCUACUGAUGAUCAAAUGAAUGAUCCUGAACACCUACCUACGUCAGACAUAACCCCACCGUGUCCUCGAUCGGAGAAGGAACUCACGAAAGAGACAGUCACGGUUACGCACACAGUUGGCAUAUUUUAAUUGAUUAACUUCAAGUUAUCUAGAACCAGUGUUAAACAAAGUUUCCACGUUGCCACAUAACCGCGGGCACGGCUUUCCGAAAAGAUUUAACCCUGCAGGGGUGCUCCAACUAGUCCAUCACAAAUUACCACAAGCCGCAUAGAAAUCCUCGAUCACGAAGCUCGCGAUCUC